UUUUUUUUUUUUUUUUUUUUGUUAUUGGUACGAAGUACUAGUAAAUAAUACUACCAAAAAGCGUUUAAAAAUGGAUUCACAUAAAUAAUUUUUUUUUUGUUUUGAAAAAUGACCAAUUCAUGCAAGUUCAAAAUCUUUUCAUUUUUCAACACUUGAUUAUAUGCAAUAAAAAUUAUUUUAAAUAUAUGUCACGUGUGUAAAAUUUAGAGUUAAAUUCAAAAUAAAAUGACAUGAUAUGAUAUGCAUCCAAAUUCGUAUAUUAUCAAUGUCGAUAAAAUCUAUCUAAUCAAAAAAAAUAAAGAGCAAAGAGUAUCAUUUUUCUAGAUGUCAAUUGCUAACAGAUACAUAUUUCUUGAGGUUGGGUGCUAUAAAAUUUCAUAAUUUGGUGAUCACGUUAUUCAAUUCUAUUUGAAUUCAAACGAGUAACGAUACUUGAGUUUGAACUCGACUCGUGCAAGUAAUGCACAAACUUGAGCUCGACUCAAAUUAACUCAAAGGUUCCGUCAAGCUUUGUCGAAGUUCGAUCCACCCAAACCCAAGUUCAAACUCGAAUGGCUCGAGCUUGAAAUUGAGCUCAAAGCCUGAUUUUUAUAUUCAAUUUCCAUUCCUAAUUUCCCAUUCAACUCAGCUCAAUUCGUGAGAAUAACUCGAAGUCCACUACACUUACUGUAUACUAGCCAUAAUAAUUUUUUGUUACACUACUCAUUAGUCACAACUCACAACUACUGAUGUUGCCUUGAACGUUGAAUCUGGCGCGACCCAUGGAAUGAAUCCCGAAAUAUUUUGUUAAGGCACGAAUUUAGCAAGUUUCAUUCCGGCUUUAUCAUUUUGCUAGGACCCAUGAAUAAAGUCCGAUCGAGGCAGCGCUUCGCUCGUGUUUCCGGGGCUUGAGUGAUGAUAUUUAUUCUGGCAAAUACGGAUGACGACGCGAUUGGCCUGAAAGCAAUUUAUUUCUAACGACUAAAGUUCAUUCUAGCAAAACCGCAUCAUGAAUCACUAACUUGGAAGGUGCAACUGGCCGCUUCACCACUGUUGUAACCUCAAACUUCAAAAUCUCGGUCCGCCUAAUCAAUUUGAGCACUUGAUUGAAACAAACCCACCCCACCCUCGCUCACCAGUCCAACAAAAAUUAGGGUAGCAAUCGAUAAAAUACGACUCGGCGGACCGGUGAGACCGGAUAAUACUAAUAAUCGCUGAUUGAUACGAUCCGCCAACUCUAAAUGGAUUCAGACAUCUGACCCGAAUCUAAAAUUCGGUCCGGUUUGGCGGGUCAAUUCAAAUGACUUGAGAUAUAGAUUUCAAUUUCCUAAUUUAUCACUGUGGUUUCUAACGGAACCAAUUUCGUAUAAGGCUAAUUACAUAAUCAAUUAAUAAAAAUCUCGAUAAAACAAUCCAAAAUCAUGUCUGAAAUAAAUUAAAACAUUGUAAAAAUUUUAUCCAAACCAAAUCUAAAAUAAAUUAAAAUAUUAUAAAAUAGAAAAUAAUGUAAUAUAUCAUUUGUCCAAACAUAGUAAUUUCAAAUUCACCAAAUUAAACAAAUUCAUUUAGGAUUAAGUGGUUAAUGCCUUUGGGGAAAAAAGAAUAACUUAGUUUAGUUAAAUAAAAUAUUUUUAAUUUAUUAAAUUAUUUUUAAUUCAUAAGCGGAUUAUCAGGUCAACCUAUGGGUGACAUAAAUUUGACAUUUUUUUUUCGAAUUCAUCAGGUUCGACAAAAUUUCAUUAAUUUCGUGUUGAAAAUUGCCACCCUAACAAAAACAAGAAAGCCAUUCCCCAUAACAACUAUUUUUUGAACUGAACAUUUUAGUAUAAAAUAUAAGGGUAAAAAUAAAAAAACUCCCUGUAGUAAACCUAAUGCACAAAAAGUCCCCUGUGAUUUCAAACAUACUAUAUAACACUUCAUGUUUUGAAUUAAAUUGUAAAUAUGACGGAAUCCGUUAAAUUUAACGGAAAUAGAUGAAAUGACCAAAAUGCCAUGAUGUAAUUAAAAAAACAGCUCAAAAAAUCAUUUGUUUUAUUCAUUAGAUAGAGAGAAUUGAAGAUUAAGGGGUAGAACAGGUAUAUUGGUUACAAAUUAGGUAUAAAUUUUUUUUUGUUCCAAUAAGUUAUUUCCGUUAAAUUUAACGGAUUUCGUUACCUUUACAAUUUAGUUCAAAGUAUGAAGUGUAAUGUUGUACGUUUUGAAAUCAUGGGGGACUUUUCUGUAUAUUAGAUUUAUCGCAGGAAUUUUUUUUGUUUUUUACCCGAAAACAUAAUGAACUGUCUUUUUAACUAAUUAGUGCACCAGCUCUUUUUUUGACUAUAAAUGCUCGAAAAUAGAUCCACAGUCAUUUGACUAAUAUCUUAUCCAUGUUAAAUUUUAUUUUCUUUUCAAAUACAGGCAAAUCUGAGUAGUAUUGGAAAUAUUUAUUUUUAUUAAUUUUUUGGGCCAACACAGUAUCAAGAUUCAAAAGAAUCCAUUCUUAGGCAUUCAACGAAAACCCCGUGAUAAUAAUCAAACAUUACUCUCAUUUUUUCUCCAUAAAUAAUCAAUUUUUUUUCUCCUUUCUUUCUUCUCUCUUUUUUUUUUUGAUUUUUGUUAUUAAAUUCGGAAGUAAAUACCACAUGAACAUUACUCUCAUCUCAGUCGACUUGAGAAGUAAAUUUUAUUAUGAUAAUAAGAUAAUCUUUAAGAGUAUCGGAUAAUUAACAUACUGAGAAAAAUCGUUUGUUGGGAUGUGAGUUUUAAAUGAUUUGCUAGUAAUUGUUUGGUUAUGAUGACAUAUUAUUGAUACAACAGUUGUGAGUUGUAACGUUUAAAAACUUCAAGAGCACCUGCAGUCACUUGCAUCGCACGUGACCUUCGCCUCAUUUGAAUUUCGGACUCCAGCGCCUUUUCUUCAAUUCACCUUUUUAAGUUUGGAGUUCGCCCUUUCCUUUUGUUUUCUUCUCUGUCCACCGUCCCUCCCAAUUCCCCGUUCAAAAUCAAUCCAACCCUCAACGGUCACCCCUCCCAUCCUCCUCCUCCGUCCCAACCCCUCAUUCCCACCUCUUUCUCCCUCAGGUACGCGUUCAAACUAUUCAACUACAUUUUUCACUCGUCGCUAUACAUUUUGGUCGAUUUAUAGAAUAAUGUGUGGUUAAUGAGAUCUCGAAGGUCAAGAUUAAAAUGAUGGCCUUAGAGUUGGAUUUUUAUUGUGUGUGCAGGCUCAAUUGAAUCUAGCUAGGGUUUCUGUUGCUUACUUCUUUUUUCUUUCCUGUCGUAGUGAUUCAAAAUUUCAAAUUGCAUUGAGUGGAGAUGGACAGUUCUGAAGUUAAACACAUCUCAGUGUGUGAGGGUUGCAGUCAAUGUUCGGCCGCUUGUCACUCAUGAGCUUGUUGCUGGAUGCACUGAUUGCAUCACGCUGUCCCUGGAGAACCACAGGUACUUGGGAUGAGUAUUCUUUUGUUUAAUACUUGGAAACUAUAUAAUUAUUACUAUUAUUUUUUAAAAAACAUGUGCUCUUUUGAUUGAGAAUUUUUUUAAUUGUGUGUUUUUGGUCGCGAAUUUUUAGUGGAGUAUUGAGAUUUAGGUGAAAAUUGGGAGUUAUUGAGGUGUUUGUAUGCUCAAACAGGUUCAAAUUGGAUCACAUGCCUUCACAUUUGAUUAUGUGUUUGGGAGUGCUGGGUUAUCGUCUUCACGGAUAUUUGAUGAGUGUGUGGCUCCAUUAGUUGAUGCACUCUUCCACGGCUACAAUGGUACGUUCUUGCGUAUGGACAGGUAUGGAACCUGUUUCUGAUAUUAUUAUUUUCUGCAACUUAAACGUCUUUUUUUGUGUUUCCUUACCUUGUUCAAAAUUUGUUUCAUGUGAAAGACUGGCUCUGGAAAAACAUACACUAUGGGAACUAACUAUAAUGGAGAAGACCAUAAAGGAGGAGUUAUUCCAAAGUAAUGGAAACCAUAUUUUCGCGAGUAGAGGCUAUGAAAGCCUCUACAGAGUUUCUUAUAAGAGUAUCUUUUAUUGAGGUAUGGUAAUUUGGUUUUCGGUGUAUUAUUACUAAAGUCUCAUAGUUCAUGUAUUGACCGCCUAAUUUGGUAUCAUGUUAUUUAUUUUAUGAUUUGCAGAUUUUUAAGGAAGAGGUAUUUGAUUUACUAGAUCCAAACCCCCUUAUUGCAAAAGGUGAUGGGGCAUCUAUAGCAAAACCUGGCCCAGCAAGAGCUCCCAUUCAAAUUAGAGAAACUGUCAAUGGUGGGAUCACACUUGCCGGUGUUACAGAGGCAGAGGUUAGGACAAAAGAAGAGAUGGCAUCAUACCUCUUGCGUGGUUCAGUAUCUCGUGCUACGGGAGCACUAACAUGAAUAGCCAAUCAAGGUGUGUGCAUUGUUUUAGUGUUAUUGAUAAAAUCUACCUGUAUGUCUCUAACUUCUUAGAUUUUUGUGCAUUGUCUAUGAUGUUGACUAACGUAGUUAAUUUUAUAUGGAGGUGCUGAUUUAUGUCUUCAGUUACAUGAUGAUUCUUGUGUGCUCUUUACUGUGUGAGUCAUUCUUUUUUGUAAAGAGAGCAGAUACCAAAAUUACUCAGAAUUAUGGAUCCUCUAAAUCAUGUUAUCUUGUGCUACUCUCUCUCUCUCUCUAUCACUUCUCUGCUUAAAUUACUUUUUUCAAUCUCCUUCAAAAGCGUUAGGGCAUAAGCCUGUAUAUAAUGUGGAUUAACUCUGCAAAACUAGCAUUAGUUAAACAUUUAUGCUUGAGGGAUAGAGAUUUUGUAGUUUCAGGUUUUGCUUGAAAGCAAAAAUUGCUUGUGAAGAUGCCAAUAAUGAGCUGGUCAAUCAACAUCAUCCCCUUCUUUUCUCUUCUGCUCCCCUUUUUUCUGAUGUAAUGUUUCUGUGUCAAGAAUUUACUGAUAUUUCUCUGGAUGUCCCUGGGUUCAGAAUAUAUAUGACAAUUGGAGUUACUUAAACAAAGGUGUUAAUGGUGUCUUCAAGUUACUACAGUCAUAUGGCGCUUACAGUAGCUCUAACUCUUAAAAUGAAACUCAAUGUAUGCUAGUUGGGUGCUGCCUUUGAUUGAAGGAUACGUAGUGUAAGAGUUAGUUUCUAAUGACAAUUAGCUUGUUGCAGCUGAGAAAUUAAAUCAGAUCAUCACAAUCUUCUGAAAAUGUAAUAACUUCUCGUUUCUUCAUUGUAGCCUGCAAUUGUUUUAGGAGAAGUAAUUUUUCUAUUGUUUUUUACCUGUUUAAUUUCUUCUUUAUCACAGUAAAUGUAUCGGUCUAGCUGACAGAGUUGUGUUAACAAGAAGUCUCAUUAAUCUUGGAGCAUGUUUCCAAUCUUAAUACGAAUUGUCAGUGCUCUCUUAUUAGCACCCUAGUGAAAUCUGUAGAGAGCACUCUAGAUAGGUUGCAUACCUUGAAGAAACCAGCAGAUUUAGCUGUUUUCUUGGCCUUUCUUUUAACUUACUCUUUCAGUCAUUACAAUGAGAAUUUUUUAAUGUUAGUGUAUAUGAUUUUCAGUCGUUCGCAUGCAAUUUUCACAAUAUCAAUGGAACAAAAAAGAACAAGCAGUUGCUCUAGUGGAGACAUACAUGAUGAAUUUAGUGACGAAAUCUUGGGUGCUAAGCUUCACUUGGUGGACCUAGCAGGUUCUGAAAGAGCAAAGCGAACCGGAGCAGAUGGGAUGCGUUUGAAAGAAGGUGGAACUAUCCUUGAUAACUGAAAUAUAUACUCUGGCUACUGGACCUGCUUGAUGAUGCUUUUUUUCUUUAUUGUUUUUGCUACUUCUCAUUUAUUUGGCAUUUUUUUAAUUGAAAAUAUGGAUUAGGCAUUCAUAUCAACAAAGGGUUGCUGGCUCUUGGCAAUGUGAUUAGUGCUUUGGGUGAUGACAAGAAACGGAAAGAAGGUGGUCAUGUUCCUUAUCGAGAUAGCAAAUUAACUCGGCUGUUGCAGGCAAGACAUGUUUCUUUCUUUGCUUCCUUAUUCAUCCUUCCCAAGUUUCUAAACAACCAUAUAUUAUAAUAUGGUGUUCAUAUGUUAGUAUCUUACAUUUCCGUCUACUUUUCAACCUUAGUCAUAAUCUUUCUUACGAACAAAAUUUUUUCUAUUGCUUUAUAUGGCAUUGUGUUAGGACCAUGCAGUUAACAAGUAAAAGUACAUAUCAGAAUGAACUCUACGCGUAUUGAAUGAAACAUAAAAAUCAGCUUAUUUCAAAGUAGUAAUCUGUUCUUGAAUCUUCAUUCUCAUUUUCCUUUUUCCUUUCCAAUCAGAAGACAUGAUCUUAUCUGGUUUUUGUUCUCUGUAAGUUGUUUAUAUUGUUUGAACUUUUCUAGAGUGGUGGCUCCUAUUGAUGCUCAGUUCUAUUGACAAUUUUCUCUCAUAAGGAUUGCAUUGCAUGCCUCCAUAAAUACCAUGUUCUAACUAAUCCUGAUUGUGCUUUCAUUUUUUUAACAUGAUUCACUAUAUUUAGUGGUUGUCCUGUCUGGCCAGCUUGAUUUUCCUUGCGUGUCCUUGAUGUUAUAUGUAAUUUAAGCAAAUCUACCAUUGCUAACCUUGGGAAUAUUCUGUUUCAGGAUUCUCUUGGAGGGAACAGCAAAACAGUAAUGAUUGGUAAACUUUUAAUUUGUUUGCCAAAUGCUUUAUAUCUGUCCUCAGGAACAUGAUAUGCUGUUUUAUUAUAUGAUUUUGCUGGGCAUUUCAUCAUUUCUUUAAUUAAUGUCACUUAACUCUUCUUCUUUUGCAUUUAUGUGGUAGCUUGCAUCAGUCCAGCAGAUACAAAUGCAGAGGAGACACUAAACACUCUGAAGUAUGCAAAUCGUGCUCGUAAUAUUCAAAAUAAAGCAAUUGUAAGUUUAAUAUUGUUAAGAAAAAUCAUAUUUUUUUUAAUUCAAUCAGUAUACUCACCUACUUUUAAUUUCUAGAUCAACCGUGAUCCAUGGCAACUCAGAUGCAAAGAAUGAAAAAUCAAUUGAACAGUUGCAAGCUGAGCUUCUUUUCUUUCGUGGAGACUGCACUGUUCCUUUUGAGGAACUUCAGGUUUCAUUUUUCCUCAUAAGUGUCAGUCUGUCAGUUUCUUAGUUGCUGUGAUUGGGAGGAUGAUUAAAAUGAUUAUCAUUGUGUUGGGUUGUGCAUAUAGAUUUGAGGUGGUUACUUCUUAGAGCUAAUACAAGAGGCUGUAUUAUCCUUUUAAUUAAUAACCUCUGUCCAUAAGUGUGUCUCGGUUAGAAAUUGACUUGUUCCUUCUGCCCUACAGAUUCUUAAGCAUAAAAUUUCUUUGCUUGAAGCAAGCAAUGCACAACUACAGCAGGAGCUUCAAGAACGUCGAAUUACUUGUGAUCAUUUGACACAACGAGCCCUAGAUGCUCAGGUAGUUUUAUUUGUGUAAUUGCCAAUGUUAAAAUGAUCUAUUUACGGCAUCCAAGUUAGAUGCAUUUUUGAAGCCGCUUACAUCAAAAUAAUGUAUUAGGUGGAGAGGGAUAGGCUUGUCAUGAAGAUUGAAUCAGCUCGAAGUCAAAAAUCGUGGAAUGAAAUAGAUUCUGAUUCUAAUCAGGUAGAUAGGAUUCCUGUCAAUUUGCCAUGUAGUUUGGGAAACUUGGCUAAUAUAAAUUUUCAAAUUUCCUACAGGAUUUUGAUUUGUUAAAAGGAUAUGUAUCCAAGAUACAAGAAUUGGAAGGAGAAUUAUUGCGGCUCCAAAGUGCUAACCAUUUAAGGCGAAUGAUUUUGUUGACUACGUUAGUUUGGAUGAUAGCGGGCUUCAUUCAAAAGAUAACUGUUUUGCAGAGUCCGAAACAAAAGCUGAUAAUUUAAGUGGUGAGCUACCAUAAGCUGUUCCAUGAUAAUUAUGUACACUCUUGUUUCUGUGUUUGUUCAGGUGGCUGCUAUGCGGUGGAUGUUUCUUGUUGUGGCUUUCUAGUAUUUUAUGUGCGCAUUAUCAUUGACUCUGCUUGACAAGAGGAUUAUGUUGCAACAACUUGUACCUGAAUGGUCGUGAUUUAUGUUUGGAAUUUGACCAAGUUGAUUUCAAGUUGCUGGUAGAAUAAUGUUCUUUCAUAUUUGUUAGGUGUGUUUGAGGAUGAGCAGAAAGAGCGAGAACAUUCUUCUCUUCAAGAAAAAUUGGACAUGGAGCUCAAAGAAUUGGACAAAAGACUUGAACAGAAGGAGGUAUGUGGUAUCUCUUCAAGUAAUUAUAUUGGUUGGCUUAAAUCUAGAAGCAAUUGUUACUUGUAACUUCUGAUUUCACCUUGACCUAUUAUAUCUGUUUAUAGGCUGAGAUGAAGCGGUUUGCAAAUCCUGAUACCUCAACUCUUAAGCAACAUUAUGAUAAAAAAAUUCAGGAGUUAGAACUCGAAAAGAGAUUCCUGCAGGUAUGUCUUUGAGUAUGAUGAUUUUAGUUGAUAAUUUCUUUGUUUCUGAGCUAAUUUUCAUUGCAGAAAGAGAUCGAGGAACUUAGACAUAAUCUUGCAAAUAUAUCAUCUACUACUGAUGAUAGUGCUCAGAAGCUGAAGGAAGAUUAUCUUCAAAAGUUAAAUGUCCUUGAAGCUCAGGUAUUCCUUCAACUGUUUUUUCCCCCACCAAACUUUAUGUCUGGAUAAUAAUUUCGGCCUCUGCAGGUUGUCGAGUUGAAGAAGAAGCAAGAUGCUCAAGCCCAGCUUUUGAGACAAAAGCAAAAGAGCGAUGAGGCUGCAAAACGACUACAGGAUGAGAUACAGAGGAUAAAAACACAGAAGGUACAGGGUCUUGGUAUUUGAUACUUGUUUAGAUAUAGAGAAUCCCUUGCUUCUUCUAAUGGCAUUCUAUUGUCUAAAAGGUUCAAUUGCAACAAAAGAUAAAGCAAGAAUCUGAGCAAUUCAGGUUAUGGAAAGCAUCACGUGAAAAAGAGGUCCUUCAGGUACUACAGUUUUUUCACUAUUCCAUUUGGCUUCUUCUUUUACUACAGAUUUUUACCAGAAGAUGGAACACCAAACUUAAAUAGUGAAAUUAUGAGUAUUGGCUCUAGUGGUGCCCUGGUGCUAUCUCAUUGACUCGUGUUACUUUUGUAUGGAUAGCAAGUUGUUAAGUGUGGUAAUGUUGCUCAUAUUUUGCAUAAGCUCUGAAAUAAUGGUAAAUGGGAAUCUUUGAGCCACAAGACAACAUGUACUUUUUUUAUUGAAAGAUAAGAGUCUGCGAGGGACAAGAAGGCAUUCAAGAUCCAAGUAGUAGAAUUGCAAGUACAUAAACAAGUCAUUUUAAUGGUACUGAAGUAACAGGCACUAACAAAAGUUUCUUAUACUGGCAAGAUUUUUGUCCUAUUUAACUACAGACUCUAGAUGGAAUCUUACAUUGGAUGAACCUUAAAGGUAGCAAGUAGGUUCUAUUAACGAUUUAUGAGAACCUGUUUCCACUAAGGGAGUUCUCAGCUUUAGCUUGCUUCCUGGAUGUGUAGUUUAUGUCAUGUUUUUAGAUGUUGGCAGACAGAGUACAAUGUGGAAGUAACUACACGUGAUGUCAGCCUUUGUAAAUAAACAAUUGAUUCAAAAAUCAACAAACAUGUAUUAAUAUUUUUAGUUAGUGCGUUGCUUUUCUAAAUUGGAAUCAUGCUCCAUUUCCAGAAUGUAAGCCAGUACUUCCUGCUAUUGAGAGUUAAGACUUCGGUAUUAGCCUGUAGCAAAAUAUAUUUUUUGUCGGUCCCACCACCCCCAGCCCACCUCCCUUUUAGUUUUCUCUGUUAAGGCAAUUAGUGCUUUGCAAUGAAGGAAGCAUUAUAAUUUCCUUAUUCGUACACAAUGUGCUCCUGUAGUAUGAACUAAUUUUCUAAGGAGGCAAUUGUAUAUCUUUUGAAUUUCCUUAACAGCUAAAGAAAGAGGGAAGAAGGAACGAAUAUGAGUUGCAUAAGUUAUUAGCGCUCAAUCAAAGACAAAAGAUGGUGAGUCAUUCUUUUCUUUUUCCUCGAAUUACGAAACUUAUCUAUUUGUGAAGAACCAUUCUUUUCACUCUCAAUUGCAUGUUAGGUUUUGCAACGAAAGACAGAGGAAGCAGCUCUGGCCACUAAGAGGCUUAAAGAGUUGCUAGAAUCUCGGAAAGCUUCACGUGAACUAUCUGGUAGGGAUAUGCUCUAUUACACAGUCCUUAGACUAGACAUCAAUUUACAGUUUAUGGUCCACUAACAUUUCCUCUAUUACUCUUGCAUUUUUGUCUAGGUGUUGGAAAUAGCAGUGGCCCUGGAAUCCAGGUAUCUUAAACUAAUGUUUACAUGCACAUGUUCUAGUGUUUGAUUGAUUAAUCAUUGUCCUAGUGUUGUAUGAAUGUAUGGAUAUCUCUUUAAGGGGUUCCCCAGAUUGCAGCAGAUGUUGGUAUUCUAUUAUGCAUCCAACUAAUAAGUUUUCUAUUCAAAAGGCAUUAAUGCAGGCAAUUGAACAUGAACUUGAGGUCACUGUACGUGUACAUGAAGUUCGGGCAGAAUAUGAGCGUCAAAUGAAGAGUGAGUUCUGUUACUUUACAAUUACAAUCUUUUGUUGAUCCUUUAAUACUUGCUCAAACUUUAGUAUCCUAUUGUAAUGUCGCUCUAAAGUUCUAGGCGUAACUGUUCAUGCGGUACAAUUUCUUAUUUGAUGGCCUCUGCAGUAUAAAUUUACUUUUACUUUUGGAUUGAUGGUUGGAUAUGAAUUACAAAAGGGCGCAAAGUUAGUAUCCUCUCAGAAUCUUACUAAGAUAUGCUGUGGAUGACACAAAAAAAAUAUGUAGCAGAUCUGCUGCACAUAUAGGCAGCUGGUAGUGUUUUAUUCUUUAGCAAUUUGAGAAGAUAACAACAGUGUCAAAUUCUUUACUUGGUUGAACUAUGCCACAGCAUACUCUUUGUUGAGGUUUAUAUUGGGCCAGAGUUUUCCUGAUUAUGGUCACUGUUAUCAUUGCUGACAAUCACAAAUAGAAUAUGUAAAAGGUUUCAUUGUUCUGAUUCAGCUGAAGUUUUUGCCCCAAGAGUAUGGAUUUAGGUAUUCUUACCAUUUGUGGUGUAGGGUUGCCAAAUGAGAAUAUGGUGAAGUGGGCUAUUCCACGGAUUCCCUGAUCUUAGUAGUAUUAUGAUGCUUCUGUAAACAUGAGAAUCAUUACCUCACUUUUUGAUGAAUCUACUACUAAAUGUUUGUAAUUUGUCUUAUCAUCACUAAUUUCAUUAUGUUAGUGAUCCGUUCGACACUUACUAGAAUUUACUUUAAUACCUGACUUUCUGAGAAUUUUCUUGUAAAUACAGGAGAACUAGAAUGGCUAGGGAAGUUGCAGAAUUAAAGGAAGAGGCACAGAUUACGAAACAAGGAAACUUAAGGUUUGACUUUGGGGCUUUUGUUAUCUGGUUCUAAUUAUUUUGAGAUUUUAUAAUAUCAUCAUUGACCUGAGGGAUCAUAUAAAAUUAAUUACUUUGGCUGUAACGGUUGCAGACACACCAUGUCUCCUGGUGCAAGAGAUUCAAGAAUUUUUGCGCUUGAAAACAUGCUUGCCACCUCAUCCAGCUCCCUUGUUUCCAUGGCAUCACACCUGUCAGAAGCAGAAGAGCGUGAACGAGCCUUUAGUGGUAGAGGACGAUGGAAACAAGUUCGAUCUCUUGCUGAAGCAAAAGAUGUCAUGAACUUUUUAUUUAACUUAGCUUCCUCCUCCAGGUCUGCAUUAAAAAAUAGAUCUCCUUACAGAGUAUAUGACCUUCUAAAGCUGUGUACUGAAAAGGGUACUUUGGCAUUGUUUCUUGAAGAUGCCAGCUGAUGGAUCGUGAAGUUUACUGUAGAGAGAAGGAUGCUGAAAUUAGAGACCUGAAGGAGAAGGUAGUCAAGUUGGUUAGGCAGAUAGAACUACAAAAGGCUGAUCUCCUUCGUCAAGAGAAAUUUAUGGUUAGUGAUUCUGAGUCUACAACUUUUGGCUUAUUUUCUCAUCUGAAUAUAUUGUGAAUUUUCUUGGAUAUGAUGACUUUUGGGUUCAAGUUUUAAGAACUUAUUUUCCUUUUGAGAGUUGGUGAAUAUUUGAGUGCUGCACCUAGUUAGGGGUAUAAACAAGUCAAUCUGAUGCCCUACAGCCAAGGUGUUCAGCUGGUUUGGUUGCUAACUUGCUUAAAUGUCAUCUUCAAGUUUGCUAGUUGCUUAAAUUAGCUUAAGUAAUAUGAGCCAAUCAAUGGAUUACAAUUAGCUUGGUUGUCUUCUAUGAUACUUUUGUGUGUUUUAUAGACUCGUGAGCAAGCCUUGAGUUUGUUUCACAAGUCAAUCAACUAGAAAUGUGGGGUGUUUUCCUAUUUGAAUUCACAGCAGAUGUGAAGCUCUUAUUCAUAAUGUCUGCUGUUUCCCUCUUGGUGUCUCACCUUGUUUGUCUUGUAAUUAUUCCCAUCCAGUUUCUGUAGUUUCUAGCGGUGUUCUAGUUGAUUGACCUCUCCAAUUCAGGAAGGUUCACAAUUAAAACUUCCCGCAUAGGCUUCCUUGUCAUAUUGAUUACUUAGUUAUUAGCCAAUGACUUAAUCUUUUGUAGAAGUUGGCUGCCAAGAAACCCAAGGGAGAGGCAAAGAAUGGUGAAGAUGCAUCAAAGGGUGGUGCUGAAGGGCACAUAUAUGAUUUGAGGCCCAAGGUAAUUCUUUUUAAGCUGCAGAUACGUAGUUGCAGAGUCCAUGAAAAUAGAUGACUCAAUUUCUUUCUUAAAACUUUCAAAUAAGAGUAAUUACUUCUGGCCACCUAAUUAGUGAAAACAAGUGAAACCUUUGCCUUGUCUUUAUCAGGGGAUACGACAGUCUGUCAUCUUAAAUGGUGGCUGGAAUAAUUUGCAAUCUUUGGAAGACAUGGAUACCUCAGAUUCAGAAUAUUCAGACAAUGGCCAAGGGGAUGAUGACCAUGAGUUGGGACAUACUGAUUUGGAUGACCCUGAGUGGUCCCUUACAAAUGGAAGAAGAAGGCGUGCCAAGAAAAGGAACUCCAAGAAUAGCAGCCAUUCUGGCACAGCAUCUCAUCCCAUAUCUGCCAGUGAUUCUGAAGGUUUGAAUACAAAGACAUCAGGUGGGGAAGAUAGUACCGGGAGUCAGAAAUAUGAGUCUGCAAUCUGCUGCUCCUGCAGUAAGAAGUCUUUGUGCAAGACAAUGAAAUGUGAAUGUCGACUUGCUGACGGCAUUUGUGGGACAUCUUGUGGCUGUGAUCCUGUAAAAUGCAGUAAUAGAGAAUCAGCACUCACCCAAGAGGACAUGGCUUGCCACCAUCAGAAAUUGUUGGACUGACUAGAACUGCUUCAGAGACUGAUGAAGCAGAUGGAAGUCACGUCCUUGCUUCUCAUGGUGCAAUGUUACUCCAGUCCGCACUUUCUGAGAACCUAUGAUCUCAAAUGAUGAAGGUGGACCCAGAAGAAAGCCUUUAUCUGACAUUGGAAAUACUCUGGUAUGUCUGUUUUACAAUCUUUCUUGUUGUCACUGAUGUGUGUGUUUCUUUUAUGAUGUCUGUCUUAAGACUUCUUUAGGCUUUUCUUAUUUAGCUAUUCAAUUACAGGCAAAAUCAAAUGCUCCAAAACCUAAUCAAAGAAAGAAAUGGCGGAAAUCUACUAUUCAACUUGUUCCAGCUCCACCACCUGCCGCUGAACCUGAAAAUGUUGAAGGAUCUGUAAAGCCUGAAAUCAGCUCAAGUGAGAGUGAUAUUUCCUUGAAAUUACCCAGAUUUAUGCGCUCUGCUUUCGUGCAAUAAUCCUUUAAGAGAAAGGAAUUCAGAUGCACACAGUGAUUCUACUGUUAUGAAGGAGAUUGGAGUUACAGCUUCUAGAAGUCCUCAAGAACAAUCGAGAACAACAGAUGAGAAAGAAAAUAAUUAUAAGCCAUAAUUUCCUCUGCUGCAGUUGGUGGUUGAUUAAUUUUGUACAAGCUGCUUUUUCUAACAUUUUGAAGAGAUUGGAGGUUCUUUUGGUGUUCUGUAGUAGGCGAUUGGCUCUUUGUGUAAUUUAAUUAGUGGCUGACCUGUAGAACCGCAAUUUGUUUCUCCAUUGCUGGUUCCAAAAUUGCUGAUUCAAUCUUCAAAGUGACUCUCAGAGCAAGCUCUUUAUGAUCCGUAAGGCGGUGCAGUUGUAAAAGCUCCUGUGUUCAUCAUGCAUGUACAUUUUUCUUGUGCUUGUUGAUGCUUGGAAUUGACUCAAUAUGUAACGCGAGUUUAUAGCCUGAUUAACAGCUUCUGGCUAGCAAAUGAAUCCAGUCAAACUGGUUGGCUACGGCGAUUGAUCACAAAAGAGGUGAAACUAAUUCUAAAGGCUUCUGUUUUUCUUCCACAUUGUGCGACAAAUCACAGAAGGUUUUUUUUUUUUUUGGAUGGUUUUAGUUCUCGUUAUCCUUACAGGUUACAACAUGUUUUCGAGAUUACAAAUUACGACCUACCAAUAUAGUCCUCCUCAUAUUAGCAGCAAAAGUUGAACACGACCUUUUGACAAAAAUGUUUCGUCCUUACCAGGCCAACUUGUGUUGCCUCGAAGAUGUUUGCAUAAAUGGAAUUAGUGAAGGAUAGGAGGAUUGGAGGAAAUGAUUACCAAAUGUUAUUCCUGCAAAAAAGUGCCAGGAAGUCUCAUGAGUCCUCCAGAAAAGCAUCCAGAGGUUAAUAUGACCACUUCCUAAAAUGGCUAAUUGUUAUCUAAAUAUAUUUUUGUAAAAAGCAGCAAGGCAUACAACAUAACACUCGGAACAACGUGGCGAGUCUAAACUAAGGCAACAAAAUGAAUCACUAGAUUUAGUACUCAUCCAUAAAAUUCCAGAUCGGGAAUGCUAAAUUUGGAACCAGUAAUGAAGUAGCAUCCGUCAUAGCUGGUUUUGACCUUGAGUUGCCUGCUCAGUUCUGGAAGCAAUAAUUUGGAGAUGACUCGUUCUCAUAUUUUAUAGGCAUCACAGCUAUGUCUCUCGAUUUAUAUCAAGCUUGGCUGUCCAGUAGUCUAGCUGACUAGCAACACAAUCCGAACCUGUUGAACCAUACGAGCUGAAUUUCUUGACGGCAUUCUCCACUCCAAGAAACUCAUAGACAUCCUCGUCAAACGCAGGACUUAUAUUCUGAAGUUCCCCUAUACUCAGGUCCUGAAGUUGACAGUUUAUUGAAACACACAUGGCAACUGCCCUUCCGACUAUAUCAUGAGAAGUUCUAAAAGGAACGCCCUGCAGACAAAUUCCAGAUUGUCAAAGGAGAGGAAUUUAUAUUUUAUAGCCUACCAACUAUUAAACAAGAGAAUAGAUGAUUUUCAUCAAAACGCUGAGGCUACUUGCAGAAGCACAUGCCCACACCACUUUAAUCAUUCUGAUUGUCGUCAAAAUUCAACUCAUCCAAGGGAAAAAGCAAGAAAAGCUAAUCAUUCUUCAGAAGAGCCUCAUUUUUAAUACGAGUAUAAGAAUCCCAACGUCCAGGAAAUUGAUGCUUAACUAGUCGCAUCGACUCUUCAGAUGUAGAUUCUAUGUACCACAUACUCAAUCAGACAUUUCUCAACUUUCCCACCUCUUUGGUAAAUGGUAUUAGACAUCACAGAAGAUAUACCUAAGAGGAUAACAGUUACUGGAAAUCUUGUACAGUAUUUACCUUUUUAACGAGGUAAUCUGCUAGAGUGGUGGCAUCAAGAUGACCCGCUGGUAAAGCUUUUUGUAUUUUCUGCUGAUUAAAGGUGAUAUUCUGGGCAAACUCAGUUGAUACCUCAAGCAUUCCGAUUAUUGUUUUGACACUGUCAAAUACAGGUUCUUUAUCUUCCUGUUUGGGGUGACAAUCAAAUCAAAUGCAAGACUAUCAAAUGAUAGGUACAUGUUGAAAUCAAGGCAAGACAAAAUAGGCAUCAGCUCUUCGAUAAGUAUGUUAUGAUAAGUAGCCUAAUAAUAGAAAGCAAGAAGCAUGGUAUCAAAGGGAGGUGAGGUGAUACAAGUAGACCAUUAGCUUGUAAACUGUAGAUGAACAAAUUUUACCUGCAAAUCGCGAUUGUAUGCAUGCGGGAGUCCUUUGCACAAUACAAGAAGUGAGACCAGAUCCCUAUUACUCUAGCAGAUUUUCCACGAACAAGUUCCAUUGGAUCUGGGUUUUUCUUUUGAGGCAUUAUACUGCUUCCAGUAGAAACUGAGUCACUUGGGAUGAGAAAUCCAAAUUCUUCUGAUGCCCACAAUACCCAUUCUUCUCCAAGCCGAGAUAGAUGAGUGGCCAUGAUUGAAUUUGCAGAAAGGAACUCCAAGACGAAGUCUCUAUCAGAAACUGCAUCGAUGCUAUUUCAAAUAACCGUGUCACCAGUGGUACGAGUACAGGAUAUCAGGCCAAGGAUUACACAGCAAGCAUGAAAAUCAACUAAACCUGAGAACAAUAUAGAUUGUGCUCAUGGUAUAAAAAUUAAUCAAAAUUAAAAGAGCAAGUACUUUUGUCAAAUUUGGAUUGAAAAGUAAUCAAUCUUUUAAAAUGUUGCAGGAAAUUUUUUUAAAAAAUUCAGCAAUAUCAAAAUGACUACAAUUUAGCUACCCUUUGUGAAGAAGUAAAACCAGUUCAAUAGUUCUUCAGCAUUUUAGGAUGAUAGUAGAAAGAGUUGUUUUUGCCAGUACCAAAUCCAGUGGAGUAACAAGCUUUCAAGAAAAAAAAUUGUCCCUUUUUAUUCAUCCAUUUAGUUAUUUUUUAAAGUCUGUGUCUAUCACCAGGAUCUUCAAUGGAUCUAAAAAUAUCAAUAAUUUGUAUACUGAAUGAUUACUUGGUGAGAAUCUUAGUUCUAUAGCAGCCAGAAUCAAAAGCGGAUUCAGCUAAUACCUGUUUCUCAAUGGAGCAGUGAAUCCCAAAGCUUCAGAAGUCAUAAACCUAUCAAUGGGAAGACCAGUACCAGCUAAUGCACAUGCACCCAGAGGGCAGAAAUUCAUCCUUACUUUACAGUCUAGUAAACGGCCAACAUCACGUUCAAACUACAGUUCACCAUUGAGUCUUCAGUAAGUUGAAGUACAGUUUGGUUAAAUUGUAGAAGUUCUAAGAGAUGAAUAUGAGAGUGUAGUCUCUUUAACUCACUAAUCAAAUGAAGGUCAUACCAAAAAAACUAAGAACUGGAACAGCAAAAGCUGAGAAAAAAGAAUGAAGAAAGUGUAUACAAAAUAACAAGUGUUUUUGGAGGUGGGGGUUGUUAGGAAGGAGGGGAGACACAAUAAUACUCUGGCGCAUAUGUUUUGAAUCCUGAUCAUGGCAUAUAACUAUUGACAACAGGCUGCCAAUCACCUAAGGACAGUUAAAUAAAAAUUGAAAGAUGUGCUAUUUAAAGCAUCUUAAAUUGUUGUCAAAAUAUCAUGACUUUCUAAGUCUAACAAUUUCCGUUUUGGUAUGAUAAAGGAAUAGCUAAACAUUAAAGUGUUCUUCUUCCUAUCAGCUAUCAUGCGUGCAUGACAGUUGAAUGGAAGAAGCCAUCCUUUUAAUAGGUUCAAAAUUCUAUGUAGAUUUUUGUGAAAUAAUUAAGUUCAGAUAUUUUCGCAGUUAAAUUACUUUUGGAAUAAGAUUGGUAAUAAGUCAGAGAAACUGUAUGGUGGAGGCUUCAGAGGUCUUAUAGGAGAAAAACUACUAGAGGCCUUUGGAUGAAGUUCCAUUUACUAGGGUUCCCAAGGACAAAAGGGAAUCAGGAUAUUCUUUUAAUGGAGUUCAAAUUCUCAUUCAUUAAUGAAAAGUUCCCAAACGAACACAUCACACAAUUGAAAAACCAUCAAUAAUCAAUAACUGUAAGUUUAUGAAAUAUAUACCUGCUCGACAUAUGCUAAGAGAAGAUGCUGCAAAAGAACAGGUUGAGCCCUUUGCAAAUGGGUAUAUCCAGGAACUAUCAAUCCCUCAUUCCUCAUUGCAAGUUUCAGCAGUGAAACCUGCAAUAUUUGAAGUAUAAAUUUGACCGAUCGCGAAGUUGAUUAAUUGCAAACUAUAAGCUGCACACGAAAUCAAAGAGAAAAAGAUAACCAAGAAAGUCAUGCAACCUGAAGGCGUCUAAUGCAUGCAACAAUAAUGUCUAUAUUGUCACGGCACCAUAGGCGAAAGUCAGUUGAGACUUGGUCAUUCCUGCUCCUGGCUGUAUGGAGCUUCUUUGCAGGUUCACCAACAAUAUCAGUAAGUGCUGCUUCAAUGUUCAUGUGUACGUCCUCCCUAUCGGUCCUCCACACAAAUUCUCCUGCUUCAAUUUGCCUCUCUACCUCAUCAAGACCUCGUAAAAUGCUAUCCCUGUCUUUUUCGCUUAUCAAUCCCUAAAUAUCAACAAUAUCCAUCAAAGGACACAUUUUUAUUCAACAUCUCUACAAAAUUGUAACUUAGUUCCCGAAACAACAAAAAAAAAAUUGUAGAACUCAAAAUCUCAACCUACUAGCAAAGUACUCCUAUAUAGAAAAUUUUAGUCUCCCAUACUUUUUUCCUUCGCUAUUUUUUCUUGUUAAAAAAAAAAGAAAAAAUAAAAUCAUCUAAACAUUCUGCAAACGAACACCCGAUGGAAAGGAAUAGCAAACCACGGCAUUCAAAAAUAAAUUAAAAAUUUAGCAAAAAAAAAGAUUAAUCAAAAGAAGACCUGGUGAGCUAGCAUGGAGGCAUGAGCCCGACUGCCCAUAAUGUCAUGUUUGUAAAGAACUUUAUCAAAUGAGAUUGAUUCAGUGAAGUUUUCCACUGCAUCAGUCACACUCUCUUCGAACCUCCCACCCCAUAAUUUGACUUCCUUCUUCAAUGGGCCGUCGGUGGUGGGGGAAGCGUCGGAGCUGCUCAUGUUCUGGGCUGCGUAGGGAGUUGUUCUUCUGUUUGGUUUGGUAAAAGAGAGGUUUUGGGGUUUAAGAAAGAUGGGAUUUUUAUGGAGGUUAAGAGAGCGUUGAACUGGGGAAAAACUGGGAAUGGAAGCCGAAGAUGAUGAAGAAGGAGGAGAGGAAGAGGAGGGGGAAACACAACGGGUCUCCAUUGUGCGGCGGCGAACCGAUGCGAGAGGGGGAAGCGGUGAUUAAUCGCUUUCAAGAACCGGUGGAAAGACUUGUUCCCUGCAUUCAUUCCUUUUCUUAAAGAGUCAAAUUUCUUUGGGCUGGCAUAACGGAUUUAUUGAAUGAACGCCACUUCGGUUGUUUGAAAACAAAUCCAAUGUUGGGCUAAUGUUGGGCCAAGCCUAGCCAGCGAGUAAUAGCCGAAGGCAAAAAAGGGAGAGAUAGCGAAGAGAACUAGAGGAGACAAGGGAGAACGUGAUUGUAAUUUGAAAAAGCUAAUUUGUAGGGGUGGUUAUGAUUAGUUAAGGUGAGUGUGCAUCGAAAUCGAAAUCGAAAUCGGUAAUUCAAAAUUUUAAAUUUAAAAUUAUUUGAAAUUUUGGCAUAAGAAAAUCUGAUCGAAUUCGAUUUUGAAUUCAUUAAUUUUGAAUUCGAAUUCGUACCAAAUUCAAUUCGGAAUUCAGUAAAUUUUCAUUUCACGGAAUUUGGGAACUCUUUUUUUCCUUGUGUAAUUUUGUUUCGUAUUUCUAAUUUUUUUUAUUAUAAUUAUAUAUAAGUUUUUCUAACUAAAUGCUAACUUUUAUAUAAUAUGUGUUUUUAAUUAUAACAUAAUAUACAACUAACUUAAUAAAACUUAUUAUUGUAUUGUUAAACACUAUAAUUAUUAGUUAGAUGUAUUAUUAUAUAAUAUAAAUUUUAUAUUACAUAUAUGUAUAUAUAACAAAUUUGAAAUUGAAAUCGGUAUUCAAUUUUCGAUUUCACACCGAAUUUGAACAAAAUUCGUAUGCCUCGAAAUAAAAAAAUCCAAAUUUCAUUCCGAUUUUUGAUUUACUAAUUUCAAAAAUUUUGAAUUCAGUUAGAAUUCGGCAGGUAAAUCAGAAUUUUUCAAUUUUGCACACUUCUAGUCAUGCUUAUCACACGUUGGUGUAUCUUUUACCGAAGAAGCAAUUAUAAUAUAAAUUAAAAAAUUGUUAGUAUAUUACAUUCAACUUGCUCUCAUGGUUGUUAAAAUCACGAUUACGAUCCGGAUAAGUAAAAUCGAUCCAGAUCAUGCAUAGAAUCGAAAAUCACCUUAAUAUGCAUAAUAUCACUAGAAUCGUUUGUGUGACCAUCGGAUCGUACGAAUUUUUGAUAAUUUUAUAAAUUUGGGGCUAAAUCUUGAAACUAAAUGAAAACAUUUGGAGUAGGUUUGUAACUUGUCAAAAAAUUAGAUCCUUUAAUUAUAAUUUUGCAACAAUUUUUGUUUAAAAACAAAAGUUACAACAAAAAGGCUUUAGUAGGGAUAAAUAAAUGAAACCACAAAAGGAUGAAGAGAGAGAAAGUUUCUUUGGUUCUUCCCCAUCUCCAAUCCGACCUUCUUCCCCGUCUAGAUUCCAAUAAAAUUUCACAAAUUUUGCUAAUCUCCUAUAUCUAAUUCUCUAUUGUUUUUGUACCUUUGUCCAAGUUCAAGGAAUUUUUGACAGAACAAGUCGCUCAAUGAAAACAACAGUGAGUACUCGUAACUUCUAAUUUCAUUGUUUCUUUUAAUUAUGCCUGUCAACUAUAUAUGUAUACUAAAUGCUUUUACUAUCAAGUAUUAAGAUUGGUUGUAUUCUUAUUUCUGAUUAGACAAGACACCAGGACCUUUUCUUUUCAUUUUGGGGUUCCCUUGCUUUUCUUUCCUCUUUUUUUUUUGGUUAUUUUGUGACAUUGAAAUAUAUAUAAUUCUGGAUUUCAAUCUAGUGCUUGUUUCUAAUAUUUGCUGUCCUUGUACUACUUAAUAUCUUUGUGAAUUGCAUCUGAAGUUGUAUCAAUGAUGUUUAUUCUUUAAUGUUGGUAUGAGUUUUACUGGAAGUCUUGGUUUUACUAGAAGUCAAAAAAGGUCUCAUUCUUCAAUGUUGGUUUGGAUUUUGCUAGAAGUCUCAGUUUUACUAGAAGUAAAAAAAAGGUCUAAAAAUAAUUAACAUACAUAAAUAAUUAAUCUAGUUUUUUGAAAAAUUUUGAGGUAUUUUAAGAGAAUGAUAUCUUGAAAGUUUUGCUAAUUGUAGCCAACCACAUAGUUGAAUUGCAAAAAUAACGAAACCAAAUAAUUAGAAAAUCAUGUAAGGUACACGAAUGGAGAAAAAUAAAGGUGCUAUUUUAAUAGAUGACACGCUUAGAUUUUAAAUUAUUGUUAUGUAAACUGUAAAGCAUUUAAUUUUAAAACUUGUAAUUAUAAUUUAUAACUAUUUAUAUUCUUCUUUAUUUCUUGUCAAACUAUAGGCAAAAAAUGCUAAAUGUUUAUAAAUAAUUUACUUAUUUGAUAUCUUUUAGGUUGUACAAAAUUGUAUAUGAAUUUUAAAUUAAUUAAUUUAGGAGUUUUUGGUGGGAUCUUACGACCUACGAUUCAAUCCUGUAAAACUAAAAUCAAUCUUACACAGAAUCCUAAUUUUGCAAACCUGCUUACUCUAUGCUUGCAUACAAAAACAUAUACGUCAUCUAAGUAUAUUUUGGAUGGUUUUAUAUACAGUAAGUGAGGUAGCAUAUUGGAUGGUCUAUAUGCGCUAACUAUUAUUAUCUGAUGAUAAGUGAACAGUAUUGAGUGAAUUAAAUUGUAUUGUCAUACCAUACAUAUACAUAUAUAUAUAUAUAUAUAUAUAUAUAUACAUACUAGGGGGAGUGCCCGCGCAUCGUGCGGGUGUUUGAUGCCUGUAGGGAAUGAGAUUUUUUUGUUAAACAAACAAUAGUACAUUGUGAGAAGAAAUAAAAUUUAGUACGAAAAAUAAACGAUAUAAUCAAUCAAUUCACACAAAGUUAUAAUAAAACUGUGUCAAAUUGAAGGUCGUUGAAAAUACAGAAAGGCAGAGCAACACAUAAAACUAACCUUAUUCCAGAAUCCCCACCGAGAGCUCUUUCUUGCUGUUGCUCCAAACCUAUAAGAUUAUAACCAAUUCAGACCAAUUGGGGUUAAGCGAUGAGAAAAAUGCUAUCUUGUAGUUAGGCAACGCGAUAAGAUUCGCUAAUUAUAGGUACUAAGAACACAUCGACAAAAUUACGAAAGGUACUGAAAAAUUGGGAGGGUGAAGUCUAAUCUUACGCUGAACCACCAGGAGUAGCUGAGAUUGAAGAGUAUUCUGAGCUGAUUGGUAUGAAGGCAGGUAAAAUUAUCCCAAUUCUAGAAUGCAAAUAGGGAGAAACUGAUAAUCAACCGUUUAAGCAUUAACAUACCAACGGUUCGGCAAUUAAAUUGGGUGUAAUUAAUGACGAAAUAAUAGAUAAUUUCAAAGUUGAGCUCGGAUGGAAGAGAAAACGAUAAGGCAAAUCAUUGUAGACAAAGGCAAAAAGAGAAAACUUAACUCUUGGAACUGAAAGGGGAUAAACUAACCAACGUUUGUGCCUCACAAAUGCAGAUUAUAAAUGAUAGCGAAAUGGGUUCCUACCAUUGAUAGAAAAAUCGUUGGCACAUUUCCUAAAUUCGAUUGUCAUUCAAACGUUUCAGACAAAGCAACAUCUCAAACGGUUAUCUGCAAUUGAAAAGCGGAAUUAUUGGUAGUUAAGAGAUAUUCCAGUAAUUACACUAACACAUAAACAUAUAUGGGUUGUACAAAAUGCAAAAACAAUUGCACACUAAUUACACAUUCCAUCAAUACUCGGAUGGCUCAUCAAUGACAACUUUAAAUGUAUUAAAUGGGGUCAUUUCUGUAAACAUACCCAAAUACAUGUUUCCUUAACUUGUACCUAAAGAUUUUAAACUAAUAUACAAUAUUUCACAUUCCCAAUAAGCCCCCACCUAUGCGGUUGAAAUUCAACUUAUUCUUUGAUCAAAACUCAAUCUUAUAUAAUAUAAGGAUACAAUUUGUGCAUCGGUGAAUGUUAUUGAAUGUAAAUUAGCCUAUAAAGAUUGAAUAAAUCACUCCCUUUUAUAGAAAAUGUUAGUCUCCCAUACUUUUUUCCUUCACUAUUUUUUCUUGUUAUAAAAAAAGAAAAGAAAAUCAUCUAAAUAUUCUACAAAGGAACAGCCAACCCAAUUUCAAACCAGCUCAUUUCUUCGAUCUCCAUUUCAAAUAUAUAAUAGAAUGCAUACAACCCCAAGUCUUGAGAACACUUGGGAAACUUAAAAAUCAUUAAAAAGAAUACAAAGACUAAUAAAAAGCCAAAAGCCAUAAAAGCAUCUAGCUUUAAGCAAUAAAAAAGAAUAACAACCACGACAUUCAAAAAUAAAUUGAAAAUUUAGGGGAAAAAAAUAAUCAAAAGAGGAUCAAGCGAGUCACCAUGGAGGCAUGAGCACGACUGCCCAUAAUGUCAUGUUUGUAAAGAGUUUUAUCAAAUGAGAUUGAUUCAAUGAAAUUUUCCACUGCAUCAGUCACACUCAUUUCAAACCUCCCACCCCAUAAUUUGAUUUCCUUCUUCAAUGGGCCAUCGGUGGUGGCAGAAGCGGCGGAUCUGCUCAUGUUUUGGGCGGCGCAGGAAGUUGUUCUUCUGGAUAGUUUGGUAAAAGAGGGGUUUUAGGGUUUAAGAAAAAUGGGUUUGUUACGGAGGUUAAAGGAGUAUUGGACUGGAAAAAAACUGGGAAUGGUAGCCAAAGAUGAUGAAGAAGAAAAGAAAGAAGAGAGAGAGACCAACAGUGUCUCCAUUGUGCGGCGGCUGGUGAUUAGCUAGUGUUUCUGUGGGUUUAUUGUGUGGGACAAAUUUGGGUAUUGCAUUUAAUUAAUCAACAAAAAAAUUAGAAAAAUGAAAUGCAUUUAAUUUUAUUCUAUAAGAGAAAAGAGGAUCCAAUCAUCUAUAUCCAUAUCUAUAUAUCUAUAUGUACUACAGGAGAGAUUUUGACAAGGAGUUUCCAAAAGCGUCAAAAAUCCGAAUCCUAUUUUACGACAUUUUACAUUUUUUAAUUAAGCAAUGUUUAUUCCUUAACUAAUUGUAAUCACCCCCAUAAAUUAGUUUUGCAAAUUACAAUCGCGUUUAAAAGACACCACUAUAUCAUGUGCAUACAACUAACUCCACACACCUUCCCACUCCAAUUAAGAAUUCAACUUCAAUUAAAACUUCUCCAAGACAUAGCAUUCUAUGAUUCAUUCUUUCAAUCAAAUUACCCCAUAUGCUCAAUCGUUAUUUUUUCAUUGACAUAACAGGAAUUUGUCAUCUCUUUCAACUUCCUUGCAGUAUCGAUCGUAACCCUCAACUUAAUUUCACCAUGGAACAUGACCAUUUACAAGCAUUUCAACAAAGGUUAAAUUUCAAACUCGUAAGAUUGCAAAUGAGGAAACAUUUACUUACAAUGUGAAAGAAGCUUUGUAAUUACAUAAAUUACAAUGUUAUAUUACAAAUUAUAUAGAUGAAGUUUUACAAAUGUCAAAAAUUAUCUACUUGACACUGUUUGCCACAAUGUUUAUUUCAUUGGUUGAAAUAAUUCUCUAAUAAGAUAAGUUUAAAACUAAAAAGAAUUGGUUUAGUUGUAAUAGGUUAAAUGGUUAAAGAAUAGUUAUAAUUGGAUAUGUCACUAUAUAUAUAUAUAUAUAUAUAUAUAUAUAUAUAUAUAUAUAUAUAAGGAAAGUGCUAAAAUAUUACCAUGUAAAUUAUUAAAAAAUGGGACUAAUCACAAUAUUCCUCUCAAGAAAAUUGGAAUAAACUGUUCAACCAACGAAUCAAUUCAUGCAAAGAUCGUGCAUUUUCAUUUAUAAUAUGAACUCCACAAAAUUCAAUAGAGUUAAUUAAACCACCAAUAUUGGCUUUCAUACUAAAUAUUGAUUGGUGUGAAGAAUAUUCGCACCUUCAUACAAUAUUAUCAAAUCAAAUGCAUACCGUUUGUAAGUAUUUCAUUUUAAAAUUAAGUAAAACAUGCAAUUACAUUUAUUUUUAUUCAUAUAUCAUUCAUUUUUCUAAUAUAAAUUUUUAUUAUUCUUUCUGGAUCUAUCAUCCGAAAAAAACAGUUCUUGAAUGAUAUAUAUAUUUUAUCAUACUUCAAACUAUUGCUAGACAAAUAUUACAUUUUAAUUAUGUUGGUACAAUUUUUAAACUUUUUUUUAAUUCACCGUCUCUUUUUAUUUCUUCUAAUAAUGUCAGCACCAUGCGUAGCACGGGUAUUCACACUAGUGUAUAUAAUAAUAAUAAAGUCGUAAUCUAAUACUUAUCCAUUUACCUUUAUCUCUUUCCUAUGUGGCUGUUUGAUAUAUCGAAUUUUUUACACUUGUUCUCUCAAUGUCUAUGCACUCUUUGACCAGCGAUUAUUUCUCCCAAUUUCCUUUUGUCUUUAUUUUUUUCCCUCUCAAUGUUAGAUAAUCUUUCCACCAAUAUCUUUAAUUUAAAAUUUAUUAUUAUCCUCAUCAUAUGUGUUGUUAUUUUUUUUCCUUAUCAAUUUUGAAUAAUUUUUCCACUAAUAUCUUUAAUUCAAAAUUUAUUAUUAUCCUUAUCACACGUGUUGUCAUGUUGAAUUCUCAAUAUGUUUCUUCUAAUAAAUUUCUAUUUCACUCUUAAUGACUCAUUUUUAAUCGACCUUGUCAGAAUCUUUUUCAAAUUAAAUUUUGAAAAGAACAUUAACCUUAUCAUCUAACUUCUAUAUAUUACAGGCUCAAUUACUUUUUCUUUGUAGUUGCAUGUAUGUUUAUCAUCAAAGUUUCAUUUUGGGGAGCCAUGCGUUGGAUGGUAUGAGAGGAGGGGGUGUAAAUAAAAGGUGUCAAGUUUGAGACCUCCCACCUAUCAAAAUAAAAUUUAUUUAUAGUUCUCUGCAUAACUUUUAAUAUAAAUUCUUAACAAUUGUAAACAAAUUCUAAACCUGUCUUAUUCGAGUAUUGUAGUUUUAAGUAAUGACAUUUAGAAGUAAAAAGAAUUUUUCAUUCCAUUGGAGACGUUUUAAAAUUAGGAGUUUGUAACAAUUACAUGGUAUAGAGAAAUUAUAUAAAGUGUUUAUGCAUAGAAAAUUAUGCUUUGAUAUGGUGAUGCUACAUAAAUGUUAUUUUGCUUACAUAAGUAAUCUAUACAUGCUUUUAGAAAACAUUUUUCAAAAUUUUCAUGGUGAUAUUAUUUUUUUUAUUUUGGUUUUUGUUUUGGAUUUAGUUAAAUUAUUUUUACUUUUAGUUAUCACAAAGCUAGCGUGAAGAAGCAAAAUAGUUACAAAUAAAUAUUGUUUAUUCCUAUAUCCUACAUUAAGGGGAUUGAUCAUGAAAUUCUUAGCAAUUGAGUCCGAAGUUAUAUUUAUGAGAAGAAAAAUAUAAAAAUGACAUGUUUUAUUUUAUGACAUAUCAUUUCCAAUCAAAGAUAUGUGCCAAUGCACAGGGAUGAAUCUAGUUUGACAAAGAGAAAGAGGAAGAAAACAACUCGAGAAUUGAACCAAAGUCAUUGGUAAUCACCAGCUCACAUAUCUGAGAUGCAUAAAAUACAUUAUUGUUGUAAGCCGUUUGUAAAACUGUUCUUAUUGAAAUUAAAAUCAAGCUAGCUAGAUACAACUUUACUUUGGUUCUUUGUGGAAGACGUUAAGCUUUCCUUCCAAUUAUUGAUUAAGAAAAAAUACAUUUUCAUGUCGUAUUCGAUAUGGAGGUCAUAUGACCUACCCAUUUUGUGGUACAAAAAUAAGUCAAAAACUAGUUGCCAGUGGCACAUACCAUACGUACAUGGAGAAUUUCCUGUUCUUAUCAAACCUUAAGGGCCUGUUUUUUCCAAGUUUUUAUUAUACUAGUUUUUUAACAACUUGUGCUACAGGAACCCCAAAAACUUAUCAAAAUUUUUAAUUUACACACAUAAAAUAUUUAAAACACAAAAAAGAAAAAAUUUCCUUCCUUUUUUCUUCUUCUUUCUCCCCACCACCAGUUUCGUCGCCGGCCACCAUUUCCGCCGUCUCUUCCGGCGCCGAUUUUUGGUGCCGAUGCCGGUCUUUUUUUUUUUCCCAUUUUUUCCUCUGCCCCUCUUCCUCCCCUGCCAUCAUCCCUUCUGUCUUUUUUUUCUCUCUGCGUCUCCCCCACUCCUCCCCCACCACCAUUCCCCUUCCCAUCUGGCCGAUCUGGUCAUUAGACCAGAUCGCACCGGAAGAGGGUGAGGGUGGCGGAGAAAGUAGAGGAGAGGGGGAGAAGAAAAAUUGUCCAAAAAAAAAAAACGGAGCCAGGGAAGUGGUCAUGGGAGGACCAAGCAGCCAAUGGUGGUGUAUCCAAAUGGGACGACGUUAAGAACAAUGAUACGGAUACGGGUGUGCAAUAAAUAACUUCAGUCUUGGGUCAAGAAUCCUUUGAUCAACAUUGGUGGUCUGAUGACAAGAUCAAGAACCAAGAAAGUGAAGGAAGUUUUACGAGCCUUGAUCAUUCACCAUACAAGCAAGGAGCAAGUUAGGUUUGAAGAUUUGAUGGACCAUGACGUUACUUUGUUCACUUGUACGUUUGAAGUGAAGGAAUGAUCUCAUACUUGUUAGUUUAGUUGGUAGUUGUUUUAAGACUGUCUAGUUUAGUAGUUGUUAGGCGUUGAGUAUUUUAUUACUUAUUGGGCCUUAUCGGAAAGCCUUAAAGAGCUGGCUCUUUAAGCUCUUUAUGAGGACCGAAUUUCUUUCAGGUUUAUGUGGGCCGGAUUUUGCCCUAGCUUUAGCCUAUAAAAAGGCACCUCUUCUAUCAGUCCGGAGAGAAGAUGACAACCAGAAAUCGUGAGGAAUUUUUCUUUCAAGUUCUUAACCGAACUUACUCUUGAAUUCUUGAGUUCAUUGCUUAGGAUUCAAAUCUGACUUUAUCGAUUAGUUUGUUCUCUAAUCGUGGUGUCUCUUCAUCCAUCUUUAUUUGCUUAAGGUUGCUGAUUGCUUUUGUGUGUCAGAGGUCUUGAGUUCAUGAGAACAAUCGAGUUCAAUUUCCAUUGGGAGAAAAGGUCCAACUCUGAUAAUUACAAGGUUGGGAGGGUCUAGGAGGGUCUUCCCCUAGGGUUGCCCAUAUCAAACAAGCAAGCCCAGAAGAAUAUGAAGUCCAUGAGAACUAGAGAUCUCUGCUUUUUCAACCAUUCCGGCUCUAAAGCCUGCCGUGUGGUGGGUGCUGUCUCUGUUGUCCGUGAAUGGUACGCUGAUGAUAGCGGUGAUGGUGCGGUGGAUGUGUACUAUAGUAAAGUUUUAGACAAACUCCCAAAAAACUCAGAUUCUAAACAAACCCUUAGUUCUCGUCCUGACGAUGAUGAAAAUGAAAUGAAACCCCACCCCUCCCCCCCUCCACACACAAUAUUUUUAGGAGCAUUGAAGCAAGCAUAAGAUGAUAUUGUGGUUAUGUUUGGUCAUAUUAGAUUAGAUUAGUUUUUUUUUUGGUACUAUGAUAUUACACAAUUGUGGUGUCCUUUUUAAUGGAAAAUGAUUGAUGCUAAUUGCACAGUUUACACACUUUGAAUGCCAUUUAAGGUCAUAAAGACAACUUUCAAUCAGGUGGUAUAUCUAAGAUUAAGACUUCAGAUGCGUUUGAUAAAACUGAAGUUUGAAAUCUAAAAUCUAAAAUUUGAAUCCAUUAAGUUAUUGAAUUGAUAAGUAUUAAAUCAUAUACAUUUGAUUGUAUAUCACAUUCAGUGAUAAGUUAAAAACUUAUUACUCGUUUUUUAGAUCAAUUUUUGUCUAGAAAAUUUGGUGCCAUUUAAUUAAUUCAUAUGUUCAAUUUUUAAUUAUCAAACAUAUAUAAACAUAUUAAGAUCAGAAUUUAUUAAAUUUAAAUACUGAAUCAAGUUACCAAACAGAGCCUUUGUCACAUUGAUUGAACUAUCCCCGAAGAAAGUUAUUCUGGAGGAUAGGAAACUUCACGCGCAAGUGUAGAACCAAUUACUAGAAAUGUACUACGAGUAGUAGUAGUAGUAGUAUAAAUAUUGGACCUUGAGAGGUCUCUAUGCAUGUCGAAUCCUCUAUCUCUAUGGUCUAUUAUCUGUAGCAUGGAAGCCCUUUCUUCGGUGCUCAAAACUCAGAAGGGUAAGAAAGUGGACAUAGUUGCUCGAACGGUCACAAUGUCACGCAAACGCCUGGUCAUCUCAACUGCCACCUCACCACAAUUUUACGCACCCCGCUGGCACUGGCAGCCAAAUGUCCGACCUAACCUGGCAAUUCAUUUUCCAUUCAAUUCAAUUAUAUUACUCCUUCCAUCCCACUUUAAUAGUCCCGUUUUCCUUUUUCGUCCGUCCCAAAUUAUAAUCCACUUUUCAAUUGAAGAAUGUAGUUGUAUUUUAAUUUUGCUAAAAUACCAUUAUUUAAUGUAAGUUGUUGUUACUAUAAACCUACCCCAUUUAAUGAGAGUUGAUUCUUUUUUUACCAUCAAUUCAAGUUCCCAUAAAAUUGUACUCUAUUUAAUGUGAGGGUAUUUUAGAAAAAUAGCAAUCUAAAUUUACUUUUCCAACAAAAUUAACUACUUUUUCUUAAACUGUGUGAAAAAAGAAACAGGACUAUCAAAGUGGGGCGGAGGGAGUAGUAUAAUCCUCCUUUUUUGUUUCUUUCUUAAGAAGAUCAAGAGGACACCCUAAUCAAAAUAAUUUAAAAAAAAAGACAAUUCAUUAAUCGAAUAAGUAUGUCCAAUCUCCCUAAAGCACCAAAAUGCCUAGCAAUUCAUUUUUGUUAUUAAAUUAUAAUCUUCAUUUUUAUUUUUAUUCUUUUUUUUAGUUCCAAUAGAUACCCUAAUCAAGUUCAAACCCUUUCACUAAUACUUUAUAAAAAAAAAAACUCUAAUCAAGUUUCGAGUCUUUUAAAAAAUCGUAACCAACGAAAAGAAUAACAUAGUUCGUUAAUCAAAUAAGCACCUCCAAUUUCGCUCAACUGCGAUGGGAGUCAAAAUCUUUGUUGAUUAGGCACAGAAAUUCCGUGCAAUUUGGUAUACUAUUAUAUGCUGUAUAUGAAUAAAAUAUAUAACGCAUAUCACUGUGGUUGAGAUUCCAUGAGGUUUGAUACACUACUCCAUUAUAUACUAUUAUACAUUGAGUAUAUAUAUAUAGAAUAACGGACCCGUAAUGAGUAUCCGGACGAAGCAGGUUACGGAUAUCCGAACUAGGCGUAAGUGUCUGACCAUCAUUAAUAUUUUAUUAUUUUGAAAAUUCUAUCCAUACUGAAAAUUCGGCAAGUUUAUACUGUAGUAGAUUUAUUCUGUACUACUGACUACUCCUAUUGGCUAUUAGUCUAUUACUACAUACUACUAAUGUAGUAUUGCGCGGGGAGCUUGCCUGAGGUAGCCUACUACUGAUCAGCGUACAAGAAACCACCUCUGGGUUGGGUUGGGUUGGGUUGGCGGUUCUGCCUCUGUCUUCCUUUCUCCUCCUGUCACACGUUUUUAUUUCUCUCUCCCCAAGACUACAUAUUUCUUCGCAUCACAUCCAAGACUGAAAUUUUAAAAUUAAUCCACCCCCCCCUCUCCCGAACCCACCUCAGAAAAACUAUUCGGAAGAUUUGGGUUUACUGCAAGCUUUCAUCCCUGUUUUAUUUUACAAGGUUACAUACUUUACAAGGAGCCCUUUAUCUCCAUGUACACGGAAGUCUGUAUUUAUUUAUUUUUCUGUCUUUUUGCUUGUCUUGUACCUCCUGGUGCAUUGAAUCUUUCAUCCACAUUCGAAUUCUGAUUGAGAAGGAAAGUAUGUGUGUUCGCUCCGACAACCCUUGUCGGGGUUUUGCCAAACCUUCAAUUUGUAUGGAGUAUUUAAAUUUCACUGGAUUCGUAUCUUUUUUUUGCUUGUUCAAUUUUUUCCUUUUUUGCUUGGUUUAAUGCAUUAUUUAUUGAUAAAAUAUUGGAUUUUUACCCAUUUAUAGCGAAAUUGUGAGUUCAGGGUGCUUAAAAAAUUUAAGGGAUGUGAUUUUAAGGCGAGAAAGAUUAAUGUGCUCAAUUCGGGAAAGAUACUUCAUGGCCGCUUCGUAUGGCUUUUUCAUGGUUUUUAGUAAGUAGUUUUUGACGAGGACGUGUAAAAAAUGAAUUUGUCUUUCUUUUAGCAGUUUUCGAAUCUUGUCUGCUACGCAAUAAAGUUAUUAAUACCCUGAAUUUUCUGGGUCAAAUUUGGUUGUUUAUCUCUUGACCCGUAUAUGGGAAUGUUUUUAGCUGUCACGUUUUUACUUUUGUUGCUGUUGAAUGUGUGAUGACUUAUCUGGAUUGGUGGAGGAUAUUUUCGAAAUAGAGGAAAAGUGUAAAAAAGUAAUAUGUACCUUCGUGGAAAUUGAUGGCCCUGAUUUAGGUUUAAACUAAACGAAUCAACUCUUAUGAUCUACGGUCUUCUUCACAUUUUAAUUGAUCUUUAGCUGAUGCAUCUGUUUUACGUUGUUGUAAUUUUGUCUUGGUUGUUUCUUCGAAGGUUGUUGGUGUCAAUUCUUUAAUGUAACUGUAAUUUUUAUUGCUACAGGGAUAAACAAUACUUUGAAUAUUCUGCCUCGCUGUCCAGAUUCUUUGACAAUAAAAGUACAUUGUAUCCACCUGGAUUUUCUCUUCUCAAUUGAUCAGUCUGGACUUUAAGACCUGGUUGGUGUAGGAGGGUUCUUGGAUUCAGGGUAGCCAUGGCUAUAGCAUUUACAAAUGUGUCAUGGUGGUUGUGGAGUGGAAAGCAGCAUGAACAUGAGGACCCCAAAGUCCCCAAUGGAACUUCUGUGAAUCCUUCACCUGAUCCCGGAUUGUGGGAAGCGGAUACUGUAAAGUUUCCUCUGGUUCACAGGGGAGGUUUGGGACCUUCUCCUAGACGAGUUAAGAGAAAAUGGCAUAGUCGGGAGGCGAGGAAGAUUGACAAGGAGUAUGAUGUUGUUCUUGUCCCAUCAGAUGGUGGAUGCCUUUCAGGGUCUGAUUCUGAUGAUUCAGAUUGGUCAAUCGGAUGGCUGGAGCCCCAUGGCCCUGCCUUCCGAACCGAUGAUGAUUCAGAUGAUAGUUUUGCUGUGCUGGUUCCUUGUUAUGGACGUGGCCGGGGAGAACUGGAAGAGAAUGUGAAGGACAAGAUUUUGGACACCAUUGGAAACAUCCCUGAUCUGUAUGCUACAGGUAAGGAGCAGUUUCUGGUGAAUUUGGUCUCUUGAAAUUGUUAUUGUCUAACAACACCGUAAAUUUCUUAGAGAAGUUUUUGCCUCAUAGUUCAAUUGAAAGUUGAACAUUACAUAUCGUCCCUCUCUUGGACGCAGGAUAACAUACUAGUGUACAACUUGAUUUUGGACCUUUACUCACAAAGUUGUGGUGGUGAAUAAUGUGAUUGGCUCUGGAAAGUCAUUAGUUAUAUGAUCCAGGGGAAUGAAUGUGCUAUUAAAGUUGCACUGUAUGGAGUUAGUUGGAUUGCCCAUGAUUUCAAGCGAGAUGUAUCAAGAGCUAAAUGAAGUAUUCCAGGGUGUUUUGUGGAAAGUUUAUAUGAUUGAAUACUCGCUGCAUAGAACUCCAUGAUAGCCUAUGAACGCAUAAAAUGUGGUUGCAUGGAAAGUUUUGAAAGGCAGUUGCUAUUAUUAUUGUCUUUAAUCUUUGUCUAUCUAAUUACGGUAUAAAAACUUUUCAUAGAAAAAAAUCCAGGUGCAUGAAAUUAUUUGCUUUCAUACUCCUGUAGCUCUGAAUGGUAUGAUGUAAAUAGGAGUUGACUUGUUAUUUUAGUACUCAGAAGAAUUUUUUCUGUUACAAACAGUUUGCUGCAUUAUUUCGUAGUCUGUCAAAUGGAUAAGAUCUUUUGCAAUUAUAAUCUCUUUCUGCUCUUAUUUCCUAGGCAUCCUACACUACUUGCAAUUUGUCUCCUUCCUUCACUACCCCGGUGAUCUUUCAAGGACAAUUGACAACAUGAGAAACUUUUCACUUUUACUGGUGUUUAAUGUAAAGUUGAGAGGACAGUAGCAACAUUGAAACUUAGCCAAGCAGAUUUACUUGUUUGUAUCUCUUUUCAUUUAUUUUGUUUAGGGGUUUUAGGAGCUCAAUUAGUAUGAUUAGAUGCAAAGAUGAUCCUUUUUUUUUUCCUCUGAAUACUUCAAGUUAGUCGUUACAGAUCUAAAUAGAUAACCACAUUUCUUCAGUUGCACAAAUAGUUAACUACCAUAUCAAGUAACCACAUCAAUUAUUGCAUUCUUGGAAUUGCAAAAUGUUUGAUGACCAUGUGAAGUGAUGACAUUGACAAUGGUGUACAAUGAUAUAUGAUUUCCUUUUGGCUUGCUUAAGUUGCAAUGUUGUCACUUAAGGUUCCUUAAGUUUCAAUUAGCAUUUUAGGCCUCAUUAAUCUGGUCAACUCCUAACUAUAAAGUAUUUUGUAGCUCUAGAACAGUGUGGGAUUUGGAAACCAAAUGGUACCAAUUCAAGACUGCUUUCUUCUGAAAAGAACGUAGUAGAAAUGGCAAUCUUAUUGGUGUGAAUAAAUUAUAAGCUUAUGCUUACUACUAGUCUAGAAGUGCAAAUCUACUUACUUUACCAACAAAAUUGAGUGUUGAAAUUGGGAUGAAUGCUAGACUUGAAUAUAGUAACUUAAUCUGUACGAGUCAUCUGAAAAUGACAUGUCAGAACUGGUGAUGAAGGAUUUAUGUUGCAAAGCCCAAUAGUAAGAAUUCAUGAUGAAGGAUUUAUGUAGCAAAGCCCAAUAGUAUAAGGUUAUUUUGUGCAUUGAUCUGAGCACAAAAUGAAUGAAUUAAGUCAUUCUUGUUAUGAAUGCUGUUCGUUGGUUUGAUACAGGUCAUGAAGGCACACACUACUGCAUGAUAUGAGGGGAAACCACGUGUCUGUGAUUUGCCUGUAUUUCCACAAAAGAUCAUUUGUUUUGUCAAAAUGUUUUCCUCCCUAGAAGUACAGCCCUAAUCUGUGCUUGACAAAGUUGAAUAAAUUUUCUGCAUCAUUUACCCCGAGAUGGAAUUAUCCUAAUUUUGAAUUUUUUCUGUUGUUCUGAUAUGCAGAAAGCAAGAAUUAUAUGGAGCAGUGGCUUUCUUCUCUACAGAACAAUUGACAUAAACAUGCCCUCGUGUGAAUCUCCAUAUGUUAUGCUGCACUUCUGUCCCAGUGGAUUAACUUAUAAUGGGUAUUAGCCUAAACAUACUAGUACUGAGAAAAACUGGAAAAUAGAGAAAAAAAAUAGUAAAAAGCUGUAAAUUAUAGUACAAUUAAGUUUGGUGAUUUGGUACUUUAUUCACAUUGGUAGUAGGGGAGGAGGGUUGAACUUAUUCUGACCUAGGACAAAAGGAAACGGAAAAUAGGGGGAUGAUGAUGUUUCCUUAUUUGGGGGAUGCUGGUUGCUGAGGAAAGCAAAAAAAGAAGGGGGACAAAGAAGGAAGAGAAACAGAAAUUGACUCUUUCUGUCUAGGAGGUGAUACGCUUGUGCACUUCCAGGUCCAGGAAUUGGCAAGGAACUUUAUAUUUGUUUCUAAAACGCCUGAGAUUAUUUUUCAGACACAGACUUGUUUUGAAGGGGAGGGAAGAAAUAAGAAAGCUUUGCUUGUGUCAUUCUUUGAUGUAAAUAGUUUUAUACAUAAGUUUGGCAAGUCGGAUGGCUGGACCAGUGAUCUUUUGUACAUAUGUAUAUAUGUCAGGUUGCAGUUUGAAUAAACAAAUUCCUGUAAAUAAUUGUAGCGUUCUUGGUAUCAUUAUUGCAAAAUGUAGCUAUUUUUUCAUUUGCUACUGUUGUUUUUUCUGCGAGAUAGCACUGUAGUUUUGUACCUUGGUGAUGGCUUUAAGCACUGCAACAAAUCCCCUGUACCAUUCUUCAUUUUCGUGGUGAAUUAUUGAUGCAGCUCUCCUGAUAAAACUUCAGAUUUGCUGCGGUAUGGUUCCUCAUGAUAGAGAAUUUUGGGCUAAAGAAAACCUGUUGUGCAAUAGUCUUGCAAGAUUCAACAGAUCCAGUUACAAGUUUACUCCUCUCUCACAGUGAUCGACCCAGAAAUAGAGCAGUUAAUCCGAUACAAACAGUGAAAAGCAUUGGCUUCUUGUGGAACCAUCAAUCUGAUACACAUAUAGAACGUGAGGGACGAAAUUGUCAUUUUAAAUAGCUAAUGGAUUUACCUGUGUCUGUCAAAUUGGUCCCUUAGUUUCCGAAUGCAGUUACUUUGGUGGCCUUUGAUCCGACGGACCAAUUAUACCAAAUCUGAGCACAACUUUACCCAGACUGAAAGUAGAUGAGGAGGGUCCAAAACAUGGUUCAAAGUCUCAGCUUAGAUCAAGACGACUCGGCCAAGUCGUCAUCGGAACAGAUUUCUCUGAUACGAUACCGGAACGAGAUGACUCUGAAAUACUUGAUUCGUUGAGAACUCGGUUGAGUCACCGAAAACUCGGCCGAGAAGUCUCCGAUACGAAUAGUCUCGAUCGAGUUGGUCCGUGUCAAUUCAUAAAUUUAUAUUUUAUAGAUUUUCUUUUGCUAAUAUUUAAAUUAUUUUUGUUUAGCAUAUUUUUGAAUAUUAUUCACAAAUUUUAAAAUAUUAAAUACUUCAAAAUUUGCAUCUCGUCAAGGCCGUGACCGAUAUGCCGAAACCAAUGUAAAACAGUUCAGGCCACGACCACGACUGCGAUUUUGAACCACGGUCUGAAAUAAAACUUAAUAGUAUUAAAGAUGAAGAAGCAUCAGAGGUGUAAUUUACUCAAGAAAGAAAAAGGAAAAGGAAAAAAGUCAAUGGCUGAAAAAACAUGCACGCCUCAUAUUCCAUUCUAGGACAUGCCAAAUGUGACAACAAAUUAGCUGAUGGAUUCCUACAUUUGUGCUUUCCGCUUAUUUUGACGAAGGAUGCUCCCCUCCAUUUCUGGCCAAAUCAAGCCAUAUCAUUCCCCCAGAAGCCCAAGAUUGUCUCAUUACUAGUUUUUUCCCAUUUUGUAUUGAUUAUAUUUCCUCCUAAACAGUGAUGGGUCGAUUUUCUCUUGCUAUAUUUUAGGUGAGACAGCAGAGUCAAUGCAUGUAUCAGAGGGAUUUCGAAGGGUGAAGAGUCAUAGGGAGAGAGAAGAAGAAUGUUGCAUAGAGCAGCUAGGAAUGCAUAUUCAUGGUGGUGGGCUAGCCAUGUUAGAACGAAGCAGUCAAAAUGGCUGGACCAAAACCUACAAGGUGAACUUUUUCAACUUUCUUAAUUGUGUGAACAUUUUUCUGUUCGUAUUUCUAUACAUGCUAACCAGGCUUUUGCUUAGAAGUAAGGGUUUUCCUAAAUUUGCAUGAACGGCAGCAUAGAGUCGUCCAUUUUAGCACAUGAAACAGUCUUUAUUUUUGCCUAUUAGCAUGGUUCACAAGGAGGAAAACACCAAGGUUAUGUUAAACCCCUUCGGUUCAACUUGCCUAUUAGCACUUGAAGGAAUUAUGUCUGUAAGAUCAUUGUGAAUUAGACAAUGGGUGUCCUUUUCUUGAUUAAUUAAAACAAUUAUGAAUAAAGAUUCCGAAUAGUGAUUAACCAUUGACACUGUGCUGUAUGGUACCUUUGAAACAGUCAAAUUUUAGGAUUAACAGGUGUAUAAAGAUGGUUUAGGUGUUGUAAACUAGCACCUACUCUCACAGGGUACUUGGAUUGCUGUAAAGUUAUUCAAUUAAACUAUUUCGGAAAGGUCUCCAACCAAUUCAUUUACGCUCACUAAAUUUGCAUAAUAGCAGAAGGAAUCAGCACAUUUCGUAAUCUAAUAUGUACACCUGCUCAAAGAUGGUUAAUUUAACUUUUGCACAGUGCCUUUUUCUGAAUGAUCAAUUAAAGGUUGAACGGAUUCUUUCUACUAUUGAAGGGCCUUUAAUUCUCAAACUACUUGUUUGCAGAUAUGGAAGAAAAAGUGGAGUACGUACUUAAAAUCAUUGAAGAGGAAGCUGACACGUUUAAACAGCGGGCUGAAAUGUACUAUAGGAAGAGACCAGAGCUCGUAAACUUUGUUGAAGAUUCGGUCAGGAGAUACAGAGCUUUGGCUGAGAGAUAUGAUCAUUUGUCAAGAGAGCUGCAGAAUGCCAAUAAAACCAUUGCCUCUGUCUUCCCUGAAACUGUUGAUUUACCGAUGGAUGACGAUGAUUUUGAUGGACAAAACUUGCCUGUGGCAGCGAUGCCUCUUGAUAAAUUCAACAUCCUCUCCAACUCCAAGCAUCCACCUCCUGCCCCUGAGAUAAGUAUAGCAAAAAAUAGUAGUGUUAGAAAGAGAAAUGGCAAGAUGCCAACUAGACUAAUGUCAAGGAAGGGGUUGCUGAAGACUAAUGCUGAUGAUUCAGCAGCUGCCGGUCCGAUAUCAGGAUUGAACAAAUCUGAGGCAUUUCAAAAAAUUGACAAGAUUCAAAAGGAAAUUUUGGCCCUCAAACUGAAAAGGAGUUCGUGAAAAGCUCAUACGAGUCUGGGCUAGAAAAAUAUUGGAACAUUGAAAACCAGAUAAGUGGAAUGCAAACAGAGGUCAGCAACUUACAGGAUGAGUUUGGGAUUUGCAAGGUUAUCGAUGAUAAUGAAGCUCGAACCUUGAUGACUGCCACAGCCCUGAAGUCAUGCCAACAGGCCUUAACCCAAUUACAAGAAAAACAAGAAAAAUCAGCUGAAGAGGCCCGAGGGGAGAACCGAAAACUUCAAGAAACCCGAGAGAAAUUCAAGAGGCUAAAAGAGAAAUUUAACAGCAAUCAGGCAUCAGGAAGUGUACUUGGAAGAAGAAAGCAGAACGAGCCACAACGUUGGAGUAUAAGCAAGAUAAAGAAGUAGACAAUGCUGAACAGAACAUUAUUCAUGACGUUGAACCACUGCAGAAAAGAAUAAAGGAAGAGUUGCAGCUAAACUUAGCAAGUCCUCUGACCAUGUCAGAACUUGCAGAGAAAGUUGAUGAACUCGUGGAUCAGAUUAUAAAUUUGGAAAGUGCUGUAUUUUCUCAGACUGCUUAUGUAAAGAGAUUAACGUCAGAGACAAAUGAGCUCCAGACACACCUUAGAAGUUUGGAAGAGGAGAAAGACACUCUGAUUGAAGGUUCAGACGGCAUGAAUCGGAAGAUAAGAGAUCUUGAAGAAGAAUUGCAGAGAGUACAAAGACUCAACAAGUGCAUUCAAAAAAAACAACCGCCUCCAAGAUCAUUGUGUUGAAGCAAGUUGUAAUCUCGAUGAUCUUUCUGAAAAAUUGCUGCAUGUGAAGCUAGAUGAGGAGACAGAGAAGUUAACUUUAUUCAGCAAAGAUACCCAUGUUCCAGGUGUCAAUCCAGCAAAGAUAUUCUUCGUAAUAAGAAACACGCACAGAAUGCUGAAGAAAUUUUCAUGUUGUGAACAUUCAAGCAGAGAAGCAAGCCAGCAAACCGGAGCAAAAUAGAUGCAAAAUCAAGGAGAUAAACUGUCCUGUGCAAUCCAGCUCAAGCAACCACCGUGACUGUAUCCUGCCAUAUAGAGAAGUGAAAUCCACUACAGAUGCCAGUGCAGGAUUAGAAGUUCAAGAAAUUCCUUCCUGCAGCUCUGUGGUUCUGCAAUGUAAGGUAGAGAGUGAUGGUAUCAAGGGUGACAGCAACUCCACAAGUGCUGAAUCAAACAGUUGUCUGCUGUCCAACAAAGCCAAAACCAAUUUACUUCCCUAUCUGGAGCUUCUCUUGAUGUGAAUUCAGAAGAGUGGUGUUUGGAGAAGCAAGAGAUGGGAUAGGUCCUGAUUAUGGCUCAACAAUUAUGAAGAACAGAGUGAAAUUUAAUCUUGUGGAUACCAGCACUUCUGAAACGGCAAGAGACGAAAGCUUUUUCCAAUUAAAUCAACAAACUAACAGUGAUGAUUUUCCCACAGCACAAAAAGUAGCUAGUCCAGGUGCCAAUUCACAGAAAAAGUGCAGUCAAGAUGAAUCUGUGAGUCCACCUGACUAUCACAUUAAGCCUCUAGAAAAUGUGACAAUGGAAGAAAAAGUGCUGAAAAAGGAUGCUCUGGUGCACAGCAGGUCUUCCAUAUGUGGAAAGGGUAUAAUGUAUUCAAACCAAGGUGAUCACCUUUGUGAUAAACCAAUAAAAGGUCCAAUGAAAGAUGUUCAUAGCGACAGUUCUGAAAGGAGGUCAGCAGAAGAGGGUGUGGUACAGCUACUUAUCAGUCUUUGUCUAUUGAAGGGCACAUGAAAGUAGAAUCCAGCCGGAUGACUUUUUUCUCUCCAACAGGGAUGAUUGCAUGGAUGGUUACUCAUUGAAAGAUCGAGUGGGAGAUCUUCUGGAUGCCAAUCUAGAUAAGUCAGAUAACAAUAACAACAUCCAAUCAGCUGCCAAGAACCAUCCCAGGUCAUUUAAGAUAGAAACAGGUGGUGAUCUUUCGACACCGAGUGCUUCUGAUAACAAUAGGGACAUGGAGGAGGAUUAUUGGAAUACCGCAAAAGCCAGCAGAAAUUCUGGAGAGUCCAGACUCAGUAGCCAGCUUAAUGAUCUUCCAAUGAAUAGUCAAGUGAAAAGCAUUUCAGAAACCAGUCCAUUAAAGGUGCUUGCUGCAAAUGAAGAUAACAGAGCUCCUGACAUCUCACCCACCUCAUCAGAAUUGGCAACUGUAAAGGACCAAAAGAUGUACAGCUUUCCGGAUCAAGGUACAUUUACCGUAUCGAAUAGAACCAUUUUGGUUCUGUCUGUUUCUAGGCAAUAACCUUCAACUAUCUUGCAGGCAAGGAUCAGGAAGCAAAGCAGCAACAGGUGUUCCAGCCACUUCAACAUGAUCUCAGCGGGAACCAAGAUGAACUUGGUGUAGGGGAUGACGAUCAGCCUAAUUGGAAAGAGCUGUUUUUGAGUGGGUUAGAUGACAGAGAGAAGCUUCUAUUGCAGGAGUAUACAUCCAUUCUUAGGAAUUACAAGGAAGCAAAAAAGAAGCUCAAUGAAGUGGAGAAGAAAAAGCGAGAGCUAGCCUUUUUCAGUAUUGCAUACAGAUAAAAGUCCUCAAGAGUGCUAAUGCCUCAAAAGAUGCAAAGAUUGAAUCAUUGGAGAAGAAACUGAACUUGCUUGGGAAAAAAAAAGAUGCAGCUGUUGAUUCAAUAGAAAGCAGAGCCUCAGCCAGCUACCAUGUCUCAGCUGAACAGAAUUUACUAACAGAGCAGAAGACUCUUGCAGAUAUGGUAGGUGCUCCAACUCCUCAGUCCAUGGAUACUAGAGUGGAAUCGCCUCCACAAGAGCAGCCAAAGAUCUCCUUUGUGGAAGAGAAUGGAGCCAUCAAGGUUAUUAACCUAGAUGAAACUCAAAAUCUUUCGGUUGUUGAAGAAAGAAUUCGCACAGACAUUGAUGAAUUGCUGGAGGAAAAUAUAGGAUUCUGGAUGAAGUUUAGCACCUCGUUCCAUCAAGUACAAAAAUUCCAAACAACUGUCCGGGAUCUGCAAGCUGAGCUAGCAGAAGUGAAGGCAAACAACAAGCACAGUGGAAGCACAAACCAUCAAUUACUUGUAUCAGAAAUUCGUCCAAUUUACAGGCACCUGUCAGAAAUACAAACUGAGCUAACUCUAUGGUUGGACCAAAAUGACAUGUUGAAAGAUGACUUGGAUAACAGGUUAGCCUCGCUGUCUGGCAUACAAGAAGAGAUCUUGUCAAAUGCAGGGUCAAGUGCAGAAGAAACUGAGCUGAGUGACUAUCAAGCAGCCAAGUUCCAGGGCGAGGUUUUGAAUAUGAAACAGGAGAACAAUAAGCUUGCUGGUGAACUGCACUUGGGUCUGGAACGUGUCAAAGUCAUCCUGGUUGAGAUUGAAAGGACACUUAGAGACCUGGAUACUGAGUUUGGAGUUGCCGCAAGAAAGCAACAACCUAGGAACUCACCGAUUCGAUCCAAAAUUCCGUUGAGGACUUUCUUGUUUGGUGUAAAGUUAAAGAAACAGAAGCCAUCAUUCUUUGCUUGCAUUAGUCCGUCAUUGCAGAAGCAUAUAGCGACUUAAAAGCUGUACAGAUAUAGAGUUGUUGCUUCACCUUCUUUUAGGAUUUGAUGGUGUACAUUAGUAUUAUAGAUUGUUAGCAUUCUAUGGUUAUACCGGACAAACAAAAUCACGGGAAGGCCACCUCAAUCACCCGUUACUUGCUAUAGAAAACAUUUCUGAAUAGCUAAUAUGAUAGCAUAAUCCUUCUUGUUGAGAUAUUCUUCAGUUAUAACUUCUUACGGGGAAAUCCAACUCGCAAGAGAAGUAGAAGAAUAGCACUAGCAGAACCAUCUAAUUGAAAAGUGAAAACGAAAUUAAUAGGGUACAACUGCAGAAGUCAAAAGAGGCAUAGAGUAACUGAGUCAAGCCCAAGCUUGAUCUGAGGAAAGGGGAGAUCAAACAUUUCCUCCAAUAUAAGAAAUUGAUGAAACGAAAUAUACCCUACUUAUGUCAGAACGCCUUCAACUUAUUUACAAACUAAUCAAAGAGGGCUCCACUAUUCACAGAUGAAAAGAUACCAGAAGUCAUGAAUUCACAAGCUUUUCUAUCUAACCUGACAGUAACUGCUUCCUGCAAAAUUACAUACAAUUCAGAAAGGUGGGGAGAGAGGAAUAAUAACAUCGGCCAACAGUCAUUCCACAGUAAUUAAUUCAGGCGAGCAAGCUAUUUUUCACUUCGCCCCAUUCUAAAAGCUUCUCAUUGCUUUAAAUUUGCUUGUCCAUCAUUUCCAUCCAAAUCCAUGAUUAAGCCCUCUUCUCUCUUUGCCAUGUUAUUCUCAAACAUUUCCUUGACGGGUUUAUCACUGAUGCAUUUAACUGGCAUACCCAUCACAUCAUCCUUACUUACGCUGUCAAAUGUGGUUGAGGCCUGGUUGUCAGUUGGACAAGAUGACCAUUGCUAGCUGCCAUACUAGAGCUUUGUGAAUCAAUCAGAUCUCCUGCUUUUUUGUUAAGAGCAUUGGCUGAAGCAGAGACCUCAUCACCACUGGCAUGCUCUUUCAAUAUUUCGCCCAUAACAGAUGCUUGACCUCCCUCAGCCUGAUCACUACAUAAAUUCUCUGAAGCACCCUGAUCCUCUUGGACUUGAUUUGGUUUAGUAUCAACAGAAACAGCAGUCAGAUCUCCUUUCAUUUGUUCAUUGGACCCGUCACAUUUGAAACCAGCUUGAUUUUCUUUAAGAAGUCUUUUUCAGAAUUGCACAUAAAGGUACCAAAAUCCUCAACAAUUUUUGACUCGAGCCUUGAAACAGGGCCAGGCACGGCAACACUUUUACUUCAGACGGUGCACUUAAUUCUUGAGCAGUGCCAGCUGAGUUGGGUUGAUUUAGAGGUAUUGCAGGUUUUGAAGAUGUGCCUAGGACUUGCUGAGUCCACCAUUUUGUGAGGAACUUACUGCAGCUGUUGAGUAAGUGGAAAGUGGUUUUGAAGCCAGGCCAGUGCGGAUGAAGUGCACAUUGCUGGGCAAUGAAUUUGCAUUGCCUGCCAUGGACGAUUUGAGCACAGAACCUCCGGGCAUGAUAUGGACAGCAUUCUUAGAUUGUGCAGCCUUGAGUAGUGUUGCAGCAUCUGAAGGGGUAGCAAUUCGGGCUCCAGCAGCUACUGCUGCCGCUUUAACCAUUGAAUCCGAACUAAUAGUAGAUUUUGUAGAAGGUUUCUUGGUUGUAACUCGAGAUUUUGAUGAUCCAAUUUGAUGCCCUGCAGUUGACACAGAAUCAUGUUGCAAUGGUGCGACAAUGGAUGGAGUUUCAUUAGAAUGAGGUGGUCCAAGUUUGCUGUGUGCAACAUUUGCAUUCGUCCCUGCCAUCCAAUUUCAACCAGAAACUAGUGAAAGCUUUGCAAAAGUUGAUGAAGACAUACUGGGUGUAACUGUGAUGAUGAUCUGUUGAAUUUAACUGAUUAAAAAGUUCAAAAAAGAAAAGCAUAAUGCUAUUCCUACCAUCUUCCAAACCGUUGGGCACCUUUGCAACUGAAAAUGUAAGAUGCUCAACACAUUUCUCAUCCAAUGGUUUGCUCUUUGUUUGUGUUAAAAGAGUUUUGCAAAUAUCAAACAAAUAUGUCAGCAGGCAUUUCACCUCCUCUUACUCUAUUAUUCACAUAAUGAACCUUGACAACGGUCAUCCCCAAACAGCCACUCAACUGACAAGUCAGGUGCAAUGGAAUAUAUGUCGUUUGAGUUAAGAUACAGAAAAACGGAAGAGAUAGGCUUUAAAAUAUCAAAGAACCAUUAAUUGUAUCUGUCUAAUUUUUGGCAGGUUAAAGCAACUCUAUAACCAAAUCAUAGAAAAGCCUUAGCAUUUGCAGAAUAGGUUGAAGAGCUCAUUUGAUCUAAAGGUGUCUUGUUUCCCAAAUUAUGGGAAGCAAGUAUUAGCUAAAGGCUUUUGUGUAACUUCACGCACUGGUUUGAAAUUGACCAUUAAACAUACCACUCACAGUUGACAAACCAAUAUCAUCUUUGAUUUACCCCCGUCUCCAUCCCAUCUACUUUACUCAAAUCUAUACUCAUUAUUCACCAUGAAUGUAAGCACAAAAAACAUAAACUAUCUUUGGAUCAAGUUCAAGAAAUUUUCUUUUGUCAUAAUUUUCCACACACGUGCACACACAGAUAUAACUACCUGAUGAAAUCGAAGGAGAUGAUUUCAAGGUAUCCCCCAUAGGCAUAUUAAGAGCCAGUGACACAGCACGACGGGCAGCCAGCUGAACCUCUGAAAGCUGUGAGCCUGUUCCUAGAGUCAUUACCCUUCGUUUCUUGAUAAUAGCCCACCUCUGCACAUAUUCAUGACCAAGAAAUUAGACUAACUGAAUAUGUAGACCAGUAACAAUGCAGAGAACUAAUAGUAAAAGUUGUUUACAUGAUCAGACACAUUUUAUUAAUUUGCAUAAGUUUGGACGAUGUGACUAGGUCUUCUCUUCACCGAGUAUUCACAAACUGCAUUUAUGUAAUACGAGUGCAAUGUGUAUAUCCAUCCGCACAGUUAAACUUCUAAAUACCUAUUCCGUUGCCGGGAAUUGAACCCGGGAGACCUGGACAAAAUCCAGGCAUCCUAACCAUACUAGAUAACAACGGAUUCCUUCACUAAAAUAUCUUAGUGAAACCAUGUAAUGAAGAUGAUGCAAGUCAACUGUUGAUGCGUCUUGAUCAUCAAGUUUGCUAUGACCUGCUCAGACAAAACUGUAGAUUCCAUCAUGGGGGCUGAAACGUAUCCUACUAGCUUCAAUUUAUUAUCCUGAACUGAAAUCAUUUCCUAAAAAGUUGACCUAAACAAAGCAAUGUUUGCAUCAGAAAUUUUGCAAAAUCCUCUAACCUGUUUAUUCAUUUUCUUAUACCUUACUUUCCACAGUUUUCAUUCUCCACAGGAGUAAAACUCCAAAAGAAUACAAAAUGUCACCUUACUGAAGGCUUCCUACAAGUUAUGUCUUGUAUAAUUACACUAACAGUCUAUUAAAAGGUUUGCCAUGCAAAUUAAAAAUAUCUCAUAUUAAAGCCAAAUCCCAACAUUCCUGGAAGCCCUGACCAGCCAUCAUGUAGCAAUAUGGUAAAAGGAACACCUAUCAGGAAACAUGAAAAAGGAAAACAAAAAAGAAAAACGGAAAGAACAGAUAUACGGCAGCAAACAGACCUAGCUGUGUAUCUUUAUCACCAACCCUCAAAACAACUAACUAGUCUGAUAGGGUUCCAGAAAAUUAUACUAGAUCCGGUAUCUCAAAAAUUCUCACACACAUGAUAAAUAAAACAUCUGAAAAGUUUCACCAAUUUGAUUGUCUUCCUGAUACAACUCGUGAAAAUCCUAUGUAAACCAUGCUUCAUCAGAUUUCUGAAAAUUCAAUGAAUCUUUAUACAGAAGGAUAUUCUUCUUUCGGAAUUUUAUUAAAUAGAGCAGCCACUCUUACUGAUUUUUCUCUGUGCAUGUAUUUAAGUUAAUUCCCCAGUAACAUCCAGAAAUAUCAAUUCUCUUAAAUGCCCAAAGGAGUGCAGUUAACUGACUCUCUUCUGAACUAAGGCAGACUUGUCCUUCUGCCUCUGAACGAGUUAAAGCUACUCGUAAUUUUUAAAGUCAAGCUUAACUAUGUCAUAUAACCCAAACAAGAAAACUUUCAUUUUGUUAGUAAGGAUUUAAGAACAUUUUUUGCAUCAUUGAAGAUAAGCCUUCACCAUGCUUACAUCCAAGAAUAUCUGGCUCAUAAGAUUAAAACAAAUAAAAACAUACUUGGACCAUCAAGGAAACUUUGCAAAUUAGAUAAAGAACCUGAGAUAGUUGUGAGGCUGUUCUAUCACUCUUAAAGUCUCCUUUUAAGAUAUUUGCCCAAUUUCCUUCACCAAACUUUCGCACAGCAGCCAUAAGUUCCUGAUCCUCAACAUCUGUCCAUGCUUUUCUUUUCCUUCGAGGCAAAUUUGCAUUAGCUGCUCCAUUAGAAUCCAAUGCUUCAGCACUUGCGACAGAAGGCAGUGACGGUUUCUGUACAGAAACUGGAACUGUUAUGUUCGUCCCUUGCGCAAACACAUUACAAUGUGAAUUCUCAGGAGCUCUGGAUGGCUGGCCUUUCGGAAUAUUAAUAGUUAAGGGAGCUUCAACUGUUAAGCCAUUGGGAUCGCUUGGUCCAGAAGCAAUUAAUACCUAUGCAGGGCAAAUUUUCACCAAAAGUCAAUCAGAAAUAUACAGAAUGACACAUACGCAUUUAUGCAAAGUGUACAAUGGAAAUGUAGUGAAACAAGUGAAUAUGUGCGUUACAGCUUUGAGUGUAUAAUCAAAAUGUAGUGAAACAAGUGAAUACAUGCGACAACUUUUCCGAAGCACUAGAAAUCAAUCAUAGAGUGUAUCUUAGCAGCAAAAACCAAGAAAAAAAAAUCCAUCUACAUAAAAAAUAUAUACAUAGACCAUCAACCCAAUUUCUCCAUUGUAUUAGCCAAAUAAGAAUCCAAUCAGUGUAACCAACCAACCAAAUCAUUCCCUUUCCUAUACAGUCUCAACAAAAAAAUAGCUAAGCAGUUUAAGCAGCAGUAGGCAAGAUCGAUAAAACAAAUUUGCAACUGCUUUCAAGCUUCAAAAAUUGUACCAUCUUAAAAAGCCUAAAAGUGAAGUCCUUCGAGGUACAGUGUUGAAGCACCUUAAAAUCAUCCCAUACAAGAUAUACGCCACACAUUUAAUUCUUUGAAUCUUACCAUUUUGGACAUUUAUGUCCCAAUAAUCGUUGUUCUACUAAGUUCCAAAUGUAAUUAAAUCAAGUCAGCUAACAAGCAAAAAGUGAAAAGUAGCUUUUACAUUGAAAGCUGCCAAAACUACCAACAUAAUGGCCACACAUUACGCAAAUACUCCAUCUAGCUAAAUAUUCGCCUGGAGUACCAUUCAAUGCAAGCAUACCAUUCAGCAUAAAACUGUAAAAAAAAUGCAGGUAAAAUAUUAUACAUCAACUUUACCUUCACACAAGCUGCAGCUUCUGCCAAAGCUUCAUUACUCACCGCGGGAAAAGCUUCCAAGUCACAUUCUAAAUCACUAUCAUCAUCCUGCCAAGCAAGCAUCAUCAAAUCUUACCACACCCUCACUACCAACACCCCAGUCCAUGCACAGAAACAGUAAGUACAUCCCUCAAGCGUACAAAAGAAAAGCACUGCAGGCCUAAAAACUUCUCACUUUUCCCUAAAUCACCACAAUACACACCUUUUAGAACACGUAACUACGUCUCUACAGAUAAACACAUACACAAGUGCGUAACUCAACAGAGGUCAAGCAACAUCUUCGACUCUAUUGACUGAAAUAAUAUACAUAUUCCUCGUCACUUUUUUUUAAGUUUUUUGUGUGUGUGUGGGGGGGGGGGAGGGGGUGUUGCUAAUUUCUUAAGCGCAAGACAUCCAGGGCUACGAAUUAAUUGACCUCAAUUGAAUCCAAAGCAGCGGUAAUUUACCAGAGGUUGAGCAGCAGCAUCAUCGAGUCUAUCAAGCAAAGCGUCGCGAUAAGCCAAAUGCCGCCAAAGCAUCUGGUACUCCCUCGGGUUAGAAAUUCCUGUCUUCGACUUUUUCACCAAAACAUUCCAAUCAAUUUUAGAAUCCUCCAUCUGCGCCACCUCCUGCAGCAGCGUAAGCACCGUCGUCGCCGUAUACCUUCAUUCACCAAUUUCAAACAAGAACACCCGACCCGGGAAAAAAAAAACCUCAGUAAGGGAAAACCAGAAAAAAGGGGGGGGAAUGAUUUUGGGGAAAAAGAAUAAUGUGUAGAGACCUUUGUAAGAGAGUGGAAAAGUCUUCUUCGGUGACGAAAUUCUUUCUGGGCUUCUUUGAUUUCUCCCCCAUUUUGGUUAUGGCAAAACCCCAGAUAGAGAGAGAGUGUGUGUGAGAGAGAGGGAAAGGGAGGGUUUAGCAGAGAAAUUGUUGGGGGCCGGGGAAGGGGUGGGUUGUAAGGGAGACGAAGGCUACGUUGGACGACGACGUUUCUGAGAGGACGGAGCUGAAGAGGAAAGUGAAAGACAGUUGAAGAUCGUGGACGACACGCGCAUCCGGAAUUUACGACACGAGAGCGUGGGGGAGAAGGGGAGACUGGCUGCACUGACGGCGUGCGCGUGAGCGGACAGAAGUUGGGUACUGCUACUCGUCUGCUACUGUACUCGUACUAGCAGUCUAGUAGUGGUAGUAGUGGAAUAUUAGUACUAGUAGGAGUAGUACGUGUUUGGGGCUCAAGAAAUCAAAGCUGGUUUCACCGAUGCAAACAUAGAGAUGUAAACGAGUCGAAUUGAAUCUAGUAUCUUAUGUUUGAACUUUAUUCGUUAAAUGAUUCGAACAAUGUUCGAAUUCGUUCGUUAAUUUUCGAACUUCAAACCUAUGGACCUGUUUGGAACCUCAAUUUUUUACCAAGUUUUUUAGCUACUAGUUUUUUAACAACUUUAACUACAAGAACCCAGAAAAAUUUAUCAAAUUUUUUAAUCAAUGCACUUCGAAAUAUCUAAUACCCAAAAAACUUUCUCUUUUCUUCAACUUUCUCCCUUACCCCGAUCCACCACACCUACAUCGCCGGCCACCACCUCCACCGCUGCUUCCGGCGCCAAUCACAUAUUCCGGAGUCAGUCUUCCUUUUUUUUUUUUUUUUUCCUUUCUCCCUCUCCCUCUUCUCUUUUGACCGAUCUGCAACCCCUUUCUUUUCUUUUUUCUUUUUUUUCUCUCCAUUUCCCGCUCCUUCCCUCCCCUCUCCCCCGCUCCUCCCCCUCCCCUCCCCUUCCCGGCCACCCUCCAACCUUCUUUUUUUUCUACCCCUUGAGUAGCUUAGUGGUGGGCGGCUGGUGGUUACAUAAGCCGUCUCUCUCUCUCGAUUUUCCAAAACCUUUACCCUCUUACUCUCAUUUUCCGUGUCAUCGCCGCUGCUACUCCUGCCACCGCUACCUCUGCCGCCGCGACCAUGAACCUCUCAUCGUCCUCCUCUUUAAGACUCGAUACUAAUUUGAUUUGCACCAGAGCAGUUGUAGCAGUCACAUUCAAUGGACCUCAAUCUUACUGAAUUCCCUUUGGCGGGAUGGGUCCGAGGAAAGUGGUAUAGUUCAGCCCCACUUGCUUCUCUGCAGCCAAGCCGAUAGAUGUUGUGGUGGAUAGGCAACUGCAGAAGGUGGGUGAGUUGGGGUCCUGUGGGCUGAGUCGAAUUGAGUCCCUGAGUCAAGUUUCGGGGUGCUAGGUUGCUAAUGGGGCGAUGAAGGGAAAUUUGGACCAUCUGCUGGUUCUUCAAUGUCGAGACAGAGCUGACGGGGGAGGGAAGGGGAGGGGAAGGAAGAAAAAGAAAAAGAAGAGAGGAAAGAUAAGAAAAAGGAAAGAAAGAAAGAGAAAAAAAAAAAGUUUUUCAUCUUAAAAAAUGUUUUCAAAAACUUCUACAGUGAACUACAGUUAAAAUUUUAGACAAAUUAUCAAAAAACUCAGGUUCCAAACAGGGCCUAUGUUCGUAUUCGAUUCGUUAAGCAAAGUUCAUGUUCGAGUUCGAGUUCAUGUUCGGCUCGUUUAACAUAAACGAGCCGUUUGCGAACAUAUUCGAAAUGCUCGAAUUCAAAUUAUUUUAAGUCUUAAAUAUGCCAUACAAAUCCUUAAUCAUUCUAAAAAACAAUUAAAGUACUAAGUGACUAUAUUCUAUUAUUCAUUAACUAUAUAACUAACAUUAACAUAAAAAUAACAAAUAAAACCCUCCUAAUAUAAUAGUCUAGCCAUAAAAUUAAUCCUAAAAUUUGUCAAAUGAUAAUUAUGUCUAUAUUUGUGAACAUUCAUUAAAACUUGUGAACAUGCUUGUGUUCGCAAACGUUUGUUAAAACUCGCAAAUAUGUUCGUGUUCGCGAAAUUAUUAAUCGAACAAAAAAAUUCAUUCGAAUUUAUUUCAAAAGGUUUCGAACGAGUCUUUCACGAACACUAACAUAUCGAAACGAACCGAGUUACCGAACAAUUCGAUUCGUUUAACAGCUCUAUACAAACAUAAUCAAAAUACUAAUGUUAGAUACAUUCUACUUCUACUUUUCAGCUUUUUCGUCUUCUAUUAAAACAAAUCUUACCUCUAAAUACAAAAGUAGAAUCAGAAUGUCAAAUUCCCCCCCAAAAAAAAAAAAAAAAAAAAAAAAUUUCUGAAUGAGCCUAAACAAGAACAAGCCUUUUAUAUUCCACGAUGUACAUUCUCAUUCCGAGCUGCCUGUAAUGACGAGCAAACAAAAGAUUAUGCAUGCACAUAUCAACUUAGUUGAAGUUGAGCUGCAAACCAAAAAGACCAUUUGCGCAAUUACCAAACUUGGAGCGAUACUCAUCAGGAGACAUGAACGCAUCUCUUCAGACUUUGUUGGAAUGCGACCUCUUUCCUGCUAUACCGUAGACCGUAGCGUGUUCAUUAUUGUAGCCCUUAAAAUUAACACCAAAUCACCACAAUUCAGUUACUGUUUGCCCAAAUCUUGUCCAGCUGUUUCAAGUAUAAAUUCACGUCCUUCAUCUUCUUGGUUUCCUCCAGUCCAACCCGAAAUCAAACAUGCAAAAAUGUGACUUUCUCCAGAACCAGAACCUCCAACCAAAAGUUUCCCACUUCUCGAACGUUACUUCAUUGGCAUGAUCAUCAGGAACGUUACUUCAGUUCAAGAAUUGGCAUGAUCAUCAGGUGCUACCAGCAGCAAAUCCGCUAUUAACUUGUUUUACCACUUCUUGUCGGUCAAAUAGGUUAACAAAUUGGCAAGUUUAUGGUUCGUACACACACACACACACACGCACGCAUAGUUGGCAAUUUGCGUUGUAUCCUCUCCUAGUCUAAACAAAGUGCCAAUUAUCAGCUUUAUUCUUACUCUUACUUUGUUUACAUAACUAACAUUACAAAACCAUGCAAAGCAACCCAACUACAACCAACUUGGCCUCCACAUGACUUGCUGCUACCUAGUAUGAUGUUUUUCCGUAUCAAUGUUGAAUUUAACCAAGAGAUUCACAUAUAUUAUGUAUGUCCAAUACAAACAGAAAACCCUGCAACCCAGCAGACAAAACUUUCAUGUAGC
rnacentral:lncRNA from 1 species